rnacentral:lncRNA from 1 species
GUUUUUCUUGCAUAAAGUAUGAGCAUCAUUAAAAUGAGGAAUAUUAAGUUUUGUUGAAGUGAUUUGUUGCCAAAACAUGGGAGGAUGUUGGAAGAUGUUAAAGGAAAAGAAUGCUUUUGGAUAGAAACGAAGAAAGAAAAUUGACCUGACAGCAAGAAGUAAGAGUCGAUAUUCAAAGGCCAUGAUAAAUUAACUAAACAACUUGUUGACGUUGAAGAAGAAAGAAAAUUAAACAUCAAAUGCUAAAAUCCACUUGUUUCAUUACAUAAACUUCAAAUUUAUUCUCUUAUUGCCUAAAGCAUUGCUGGUGUCCUAACUAAUGCCCCCCCUGGAGCUCUCCACGCGCUUAUUCCUAAUAAUCUCCCAUGCUCGAUGCUCUACUUCUUCAUCAUUUCACCUGCACAUAAAAUGACAAAAUAAGUUGCAGGAUUGAAAGAAAAGGUAAGCGGGAAGAAUAGAGCAGAUAUCAAUUAAAAAAUAAAAGGAAAGAACCUUAAAAUGAUGCAGCAUGCUAAAAGAUCAAAUUUAUCAUUAAAAAAAACAUCAGAGACCAUUUUGAUGCCCAGUUUGCUGAUAAUUUUAUGACCUUGAAUUGGAAAGGUUGAAAAUAAAGAACCUUCAGGGUGGCCUAAAGUGACCAAAAAAAAAAAAACCUCAGGGAGGGUUUUUUGAGAAAGAGAGUUACAUGGUUCAAAGUUGGCUGAGCACUUGUCAGGAAGCUGCAAGGCCAUGUUCCGGUCAACACCAGAAAUCGGAGGGCCAUUGACAAGAGUACACAAGCAAGGCUGGCCGAGAGCUUUCACAGCACUGCAGCAGAGCUCACUUGGUUGGAUAGGACUAAACGGAGCAACUGCUGCCCUGCAAGGUAUCAAUUGGAUGAGUGCGGAGAAGAAAGUGCUACCACAAGGAUGUGCUUGGCCGUGCUCCGCCACUACUGUCAACAUCAGCACAAGUACCAGGAAGGGCAGAACCUUGACACCGCAAAUCUUCACCAUCUUUGAACUGGGAUAUCUCCUUGAUUAAUGAAUAUUGUUUUCUUACUGGAAUAAAUUGGUCUCGAAGAUGUUCUAUAUAUACAUACAUAGCAAGCGAACUCAUGCUCGCUUGCACACCAUUCCUAACCCAAAAGCUACAGUGUUCAUGCGAUUCUUGUGUCAGCUCCAGAAGUACUGUUGGUGUGCUGAUGGAAACAGUUGGGGGAUUCAAAUUUCAUGACUCCUAGCAGUUGUUCAAUUUUAAUGUCUGAAAACCCAUGUCUCUUGCAAGGACAACAAAGUACUUUAGAAAUUUGGAUUGCUCAUAUAAGGAAAGCUACAAUUGAUGUUUACUGAAAAAUAAUUUUUUUUUAAAAAAAGUGAAUUUCAGAAAAACAAUUUAUUUUUUUAUGUUUGAUAAUGUAAUGAAAAAUAAGUUAGAAAAUAUUUUUCAGUUUUUAGUUAUGUCAUGGAAAAUGAGCUGGAAAAUAACUUAUUAAUGUUUUAUUUUUUUCAAUUUAUUAAAAUAAUAAGGAAUAAAUCUUACAAAUUAAAAAGUUAAAUGAGAAUGAAAUUGAAAAAAAAUAUAAUUUUAUAAAUUAUCUCAAAUAAAAUAAAUAAUAAUCAAAAUAAUAUAGAUCAAAUCUAAAAAAUAAAAAACUUAAAAGAUGAAGAAAUUAAAAUAAAAAUAAUUAACAUUUCAUAAAUUAUUUCAAAUAAAAUAAGUAAUAAUCAAAAGAAUAAGGAUCAAAUUUGAUAGAUAAAAAAUUUCAAUUAAAAAAUAAUAAGGAAAAAGUAAAUAAUAAUUAUAAAAAUGAGGAUCAAAGUUAAUAUAAAAAUUAAAUUCUAAGGGAUGAAAUUGAAAAACAAAUAUUCAGAACAAAAUAUAUAUAGCAAUCAAAAGUUUGAGGACUAAAUUUGAUAUAAUUAGCAAAUAAUAUGAUUUUUUUAAAUUUUUCAUAACUUACAGAAAGUGUUUUCCACUAAAAAAAAAAAAACACUUCCCGAAAACCAAGCCAAAUUUUUUUUUAAUCGAAAAGUGUUUUUCAUUAACCGAAAAAUGUUUUCCAUUAAUAAAUUUUUUAAAUGGCAAACAAACAAUGAAAAAUUUAAAAAAUAUAUUUUUAGAAAUUAUUUUUCAAUAAACAAAGUUACCGUUAGGUUAACAACUUGCCUCGGCCACAGCAACCGAUCCAUUCUUCCUCUUGAGUGAGUGAUCUUCAAUCUGUUUAAUUGCAUUUUCACAACAACUAUGCUUCAAUCAUUAUUUGCUAUCCCAGACAGUUUAUCAACGAGCUCAUUGAGUUUCUUAACCCAUAAUCAGAGGCUUAUCUAAUUCCAAAUUUGGUUCUAAAACAGAAACCAAUAGAGUCCCACCAAGAUAAAACAGAGGCUGUGAAGCAAAUUCAAAUUCCCUUUGUGUCCUGAUCAGAAAACCAUGUCCUGGUCAAAUGAAAUGACUCCAGAGCCAUAUCCCAAACAGCCAUUCAGAAAUGUAAAACAUCUAUUUCCAAUUGAAAUUUAUCAUUUAAACAGAUCUUUCAGGUCUGACAUCAGUACAUUUGCACUAUGUAAAAUUAACUUUUCAGAAAAUGGGAAUGUAUCAGAAUUAUAUGCUAAGAAACGGAUAAUUAAAUGCUCCUAUCCCAAUAAAUAUCCGUUCUUUAUUGCAAACAAACCAUCCCAACAACCAUUUGGUGAUGUUUGCAUCUCUAGAACAAAAAAAAAUAGGACAAGUUAUCAAGAUUCCCCUUUGUUUCCUUUAAGGUUGAUCACCGCAAGCUCCUGUUCGACAAACUCUCCUGAGCACAUUAGUGGAUAUUUGCUGGCCAAUGGAGAUUCAACAAAAUGGCCUAAAGGCUUCAACACGGCAUCUGAUGCUAUGUGUGCAAAAAGCUGCAUAUGAUCGAGGAUAAAACAAGUAAGCACAAGAUUCUCUAAGAAAUGCAGUUUGCUCUUUAGAAGGUUGCGAGCACUGAGAUCCAAGAGGAUGAUGAUGGAGGAAAUGGUAUGCUUAGCUCCACUUACUGUUGAUGAAACUCUCCAAAGGCUGCGAUUUUGCUGUGAUGCUAAUUUGAUUGCAUCUAUUGUCCUGUUUGUGACAACAACUUCAUGCAUGCCAGCCAUGCAUUCUCCUGCAGUCAACCACUCUAUCUGCAAAUAAUGCAAGAUACUGUUAAGAUUAAAAGCCAGAUACAACUGAAGCCUAGGUCGUACUCAAGAAGUUGAUUAAACUGUCAUUCAGAGCUACAAACCACAAAUGCAGCAUGGAACUGGAAAAAAAAAUAAGUUAACUGAGCUGAACACUAAAUGGACCAACAACAAUAUAUUAUCUAAAUUAUCUUCCAAAUGUAAAUAAUUCCAUGUGAAUCGCAACAUUGGAUUGCUGGCUGUGUGUUCUAUAAACCAGAUAUAUGUUUCUUCUGCUUUCUUAAUGGAAGCUAGUAGCAUAUGUGACCUGAUAAUUAGAAUGAAAAUGAUACGUGAGAGUAAAUACUAAAUCACAAAGAGGGGAAAACAAUGACCACAAAGUCAAGGUUAAUCAUAACACUGCCAUCAAUAUCUUGCUCAUAAUUUUUCGUGUCUUAAAAAUUGUGUCAUCACUUUAUAUGCUUUUACCUGCUUUCCUGUCUGAAUGAGAAGACAUCCUGAAGGAACCUUCACUUCAAUUUUUUGCCCAUUCCUUAGCCAAAUGUUUAGACCGGGAAAUCUACUUCUGCCAUGAAUUGUUAGAAAGUUAAGGUCAUAAUGAUACCCUGCAAAGACAGUGCCUUCCUGACCAUAACGGCUGAGAUCACUCCCUGUUGGAGCAAGCAGAUGAGGUCCCUAGUGUUUACAGGGAGAAUGGGAAUUGUUAUUCAGUGCAUGAAGUUGUUAAUACUGGAAACAAAAAGAAAAUCAUAGAUCCUAAGACAUAAGUAAGAUAACAGCAUUGAGCUAAAGGGAGAAAGAGGAUAAAGAAUUAGUAAUGAAGAAGUUCCUACAAGAAAUUCGCACUCCUUGUCUGUUAAUAAAAUGCUAAAACAAAACAAUUAAGGUGAGACACUUGUCAAGCCUUUGGGGUUCAGCUCAAGUAGGAGGAAUGGGACAGGAUCUCCAUGUGUUCUAGGUUCAAUUGUCAUCAAGCCCGACAAAAGGAAUAAAUAAAUUGAAUAAAAAUACGGAAAGAAAACCAAGAAGACAGAGGAACAUGGCAUGAAAGUACAGGUAAAGAAGUUAAAGAUUGGAACACUUUACUAAAACAUAUAAGAUAUUAACAAAGAGCAGCCACUAAUAGGGAUCCUUACGACACCCAACCAGCAUUGAAAAUGCAGAGUCGAACACUUGCACCAAAAGUGAAAAAAAAAUGUUAAUCGUCAAACGAAAAGGCAUAGAAAAACAAAAAAUCCAUCAUUCUUUUGUUCAAUUUACAUUUCCUGCUUCAGUGCUAAAAAUUGAUCAAGGAGAAUAGAAAACAGGAACAUACACAAAAUUAAAAAGUUAUAUUAUCAAAAUUUUAACCUGUUUCAUAAGAGAAGUAAAUGCAUCCUUGGACAAACCAAAACCAAUUGCUGCCAUUUCAGCAACAGCCUGACAAAAAACAUGGCAUAGAGAACACUAUAAGAGAUAUAAUAGAAGACAAAUACAAUCAAGCCAACAAACCACAUAAAAAGAUUACCUCUAUUGCAGAGAUCAUUUUGCAACCCCAUGAGUCCAUAGUGUCUUUCCAUUCAGGAAAACCUUCAGGUAUUACAGGUUCUGAAUUAAGUUCCUAUCAGAAUGGGAUUGAAGUUAGCAAACAGUUAACUAGAGGACCAAAAUGUUAAAAGGGAAAAGAAUGAUCCCAUACCUUAAAGCGAGUGUUUGAUGGCCGAGGACCUACUCUCCACAUGUAUCGCCAUUUAGGAUCCGGGCCACUAGGAGUGGAUGGUUGGAACUCUUUGGGCAUUGCUUUUAACUUCUUUUGCAUCUCUUCAUCAACCAAGCUUCUUGGAACUUCCACUCCCUCAGGUGUCACUCCAACCUGAUAUCCCCAUUUCACAAAACGAUUCUUUUAUUUCUUUUUUUACAAAAAAAAUAACUAAAAUACAAUUUAACCACUGAAUUUGGGGCAAUAACAAAUCCUUCCACAUUCCCUUCCUUUUCCUUUAUGACUCCGAAGUCAGAAAAAGAAAACCUAUACUUAGUCUUUAAAACUUAAAACUAGAAAGAGAAGGCAACUUCUUGAACAAAACAGUUGUGAGUAUCUACCUUUUCAUUUCUUUGAUCUUCUCAAAAACCAAAAAACAACUAAACUACUGAAUACCAUUCAGAGUCCCUUUCUGGAACUACAAUAGUUCACAGCUUCAUCAAUCAUGAUGUGCUAUUCUAGAGUGGUGUUUCCAUAACAAAUCCAUAUGAACAAUUCUAGUCGCCAUCAACAUCCUAAAUCCCAACUAUUUUCAGCUAGCAAACAAAAACAGGAAUAAUAAAUCAAUAAUUCCUCUGCUUCAAACAACUAGCACUAAAAUUCGCAUUAGCAAUAUUUUUUUUGUUGUGGCAUUCAGUGAUAAAAAAAAAAUAUCCACCCUGUCAAACAAUUAGAUCAACUUGAACAAGGGGUUAUCAUCGUCGACAAUAUUCCCGAGGCGGUAACCAAACUUUUCCACUUUGAUAAAAUAGAAAGAAAGCGAUCUAAGCUUCCAAUUCUCUCUCACAUUACACAGAAACCAUAGAAAUCACAAUUCUCCGACUCCAAUUAUGCAAAGUAGGUAGGGACCCAAAAUAAAACAUAGCAAAAGAUUUAGAAGUGAUAAAUGUUCAAUACUCUUUCCCUUUCCAUUUGUCACGUUUCCUCCGCAACCAGACAAACUUGAUCGCCAACGUGGUAAUGCAAAUCCAGUCCAAUCACUAUAACCAAUACAGCCUAUCAGGUACUAAUCAAUGUUCCAAAAUUUUCCCCUCUAUUAUCAAAACCCGAUUCGAUAAAUUCCCUUCACUUUUCCCAACACUCUGAGAAACCAAAAGAAUUUAUCUCCCUACAUUCUCCUAAACAUCAUCUAAAUCAAACUCAAGAAACACUUUGGUUCCUAAAACCCCAAAUUCAAAAUCAAAACUUUUUCCCCACACUUCCUCAACUAAAACAUUCAAAACCCAGAACCAGCCCAAUUCCCAAAAUUUAUCAUCCAAUAUAAUCAUUCACAUUAACACCUUCGCAUCCUCAAAAUUCUCACCUCCCAUCCCAAAAAACAAAACUUUCUCUUCCUCUCACUUCAUCAAAAACCCAUAAACCAAAAACCCAAAAAACACAAUUAACAAAAAAAAAAAAACCUUCAAUGUACUACCUGAUAAUGCAAGUGAGAUCUUUCUUGCAGUAACUUGAACUCUCUAGGUCUUUCAAAGUACUUUUCCAUCAUAUCAAUAAACUUGUCAUUAUCUUCCGCGGUACAUCUCGGAUCCUUAACUACCAAAGCUCCAGUUUCUCUCAGGAUCUGACUCACUUCUUUACACAAUUCACUGAGCCAUGACCCGAAUUCUUCGAUUUGACCCGAUAAAAUAACCGGAUCAGUGCUCAGUUUAUCUGCGAUCUCUAAAUAUCUCGAGAGAUCAAUCACCGGUAUCUCCAUUUUUUUUUUUCUGGUUUUUGGUUUGUUUUCUCUUUUGGAUUUUAAUAGAAAGUGAGAGAGAAUGAUGAGACUGUUGGGUGUGGCGGGAUAGUGGGUUGCUUUUUUAUUUAUCAAGGGAUAACUACAUCUAAGCCAUCAAACUACUAAGUAUUUUGUUAUUACGUCCUUACAAGUUUCAAUACGCCCACUUUGACAGAUUUUUUACGGCAAUAUCAUCCUCCUUUUGACCAACAUUUCUCGGAUCUUCCUUAGAAAUGCAUACGAAUGGUUGUAACCAUUGCAUUUUCUAUCCAAAAAUAAGAAAUCUCUUUAUUUGAUGGGCACAAAUUUUGUCAUAAAUAGGUGAAAGAAAUAAUAAAUACUAAUACUAUCAUAAUUGAUGAAAUAUUUACCUUCUAAAAUUAAUUUAUGCACGUGUACAGGUGGUUGUGUCCACUGCAGUUCCACCCCAAAGGAUACUAAUUUCUAUUUAUUUCAAUAAUUCUUUCAUGUGCAAGUAAUUGAAGGUGUUAAAAAAUAACACACUAGGUUUGAUAAUCAAAAUAGAAAAGCACACAAUACCUUCCAUCUAAUAAACGAAAUGGUGUGAGAAACAAGGUUGUUAGUAGAGGUGAUUAUUUUUUGUUUGAUUUGCUUUGGUUUUUAUUAAAAAACAUAAUUAAAUUGAAAAUUUUAAAAAAAAAACUAAAACUAGUUCAAACCGAUCGAUUUUGGUUUUUUAUGACAAAAAUCAAUUCUAUCUUGGUUUUUUUGGUUUGAUUCGGUUUUUUUCCAGUUUUUUUUUGUUUGGUUUUUUUGAUAUCAGACUUAUAAAACUAAAAAGAACCGAAUCGGUUGAUUUUUAAAAAAUUUUAAUCGGUUUAAUCAGUUUUUUUCACGAUUCGGUUUUUUCAAUUAUUGUUAUUCCAGUUUUCUUAAUUUAAUUGAUUUUUUGGUUUUUUCUCACCAACAAUUAAAAAUAUGUUUAUAUAUCUCAAUUUGACUAUUAUUUAUUUCAAUUCUCUCAUCAAGUUGAUAUAAAAAAAGUAUUGGAGGAUACGCUAUAGAUUUUUGAUAUUCAUCUCUUAUUGCUCUACCAGUUCAAAGAGAGUGAGGUGUUUAGGCCUUUUUAUUUUUGCAUUUCAAAGAUGUUUUUGAAAAAAAUUGAAUUUUUUUCAUUAACUUCAAAUUAAUAUGUUUUUAAUAUUUUCAAAUCAUUUUGAUGUGCUGAUGUCAAAAUAAUUUUUAAAAAAUAAAAAAAAUUAUUAAUAUACAUUUUAGUAUGAAAAGUUAUUUAAAAAACAACCGUAACCACACUGUCAAACACACUUUUAGUAAAAUUGUCAUUAAUUAUCUAGAAUUAUGGGUUAAGAUGUAUGAUCUAGUAAUCAAAAUAGUGAUUUUUUAGAAAAUAAUUUAUGCAUUGGAUAUUGUUGGAUGGAAAUCUAGUUUUUUAUCAAAAGAAAAUGUUGCCUCGAAAUUGAUGUAUCAAGGGUGUAGCCGAAACGUUUGUAGAUGAAGGACCAAACAAUAUCUUGUGUAAUGGUCGGAGGACCGGUGUGCAGUUUACUUUAUUAUUAAAAUGGGCCGCGGUACAUGUUAGCAAAAGAGGAUUGUUUUGGUGGCGCUUGAGAUUCGUGCGGGAGUUCUCUUGCGUGUGACUGUAUCAUACGCAAAGCAGUUAUUCCUGUUACAUGCUAUCUGGACACGUGGAUGAGUGAUUGUCCCCUGUAAUUCAGAAUGCAGAUCACAUAAAAGAAAAGGAUCGUGUCCUUUGUUGGGUAAAAUUCUUGAUUUCCUUUUUAACCUCGUGGGUGAUAAACCGUAAAACAUUUAUGGAAGUUUUCGUGUGAAAAUGCCGAAAACCUAUUAUCUAAACAAUCUAUGUGUUUGGAAUGGAGUUUGGUGUAGCUUUUGAGGUUGUACAUUCUCACUGUAAUUUUAUCCCAACAUUCUCUAAAACCCUGAGAGUAGUUUCACUUUUCAUUUUAAACAUGUUAAUAUAUUAUAUUACACUUUUAUAUUAAAUAGCUUAGGUGGUCAGAGGAUGAGGAGUCACUUUUAAAAACACAAGAGAUGGGAAGGUGCGCGGGCCUCCUCGGCUACAGUACACAUGUCUGGCUUGGAUUUAUUUGGAAUGGUAAUAAUGAUACUGGUUAAAAUAUUUUUUAUUUAGAAAUAUAUUAAAAUUAUUUUUUUUUUUUAAAAAAUUAUUUUUUAUAUCAACAUAUCAAAACGAUAUGAAAUUAUAAAUUUUUUAAAAAAUUUUUAAGAACGCGAUACAAACCAUGUUCCCAAACACACCCUAGAUCGAGUUAAUACCAGUUUGUUUUUUAUUUUAUUUUUUCAAGUCAAUCAUUUAAAGCGGGACUUUUAUUACUUUAUAUUGGGUUUAUGGUAAAUUAUUAUUUUUUAUCCUUUAAUGAAAAAAAUUAAAUUGAUCUAAAUAUUAAUCAAAUAGUAGAUUGAGAGUUUUUUUGCUUUUUUUUUUAUUUUUUAGCUUUUUUAUAUCAAUUUCAUUGCUCGGUGUGAGAAUUAAUUUUGAUGUUUUCUAUUAUAUAAUAUAAUAAAAAAUAAUAAUUUAAUUUGGUAGAGUUCAUAACUCGUGUUACGGAGUUGUUAAGUUGACAAGAUAUCAAACCUAAAAUUAAAUAAAAACUUUUCAAGUUUAAAUUAUUAUAUCAAGCUCUAUAAUAAUAUCAAAAAGUUUUUAAUAAUCCAACUUUUUUUUUUUCAAAUAUUUGUAUUCAACAUGGAGUGAAGGUGCUUUUCAAAAAACUAGUAUAAAGUAAGAUGAAGUGGAGAAGUGAUGGUGAAUAUCUCUUUUUACCAUGAUGGUGAAGAUUUUUUAAAUUGAUGAUUUGAUGUAAACUUAUAUGUAGUUCGAAAAAUAUGUAAAAUUAUUUGAAAAGCCAUUAAUUUGUAUAUGAUAUCAAUUUGGUAAAUGGAUUAAAAGAUUGCUUAAAUUAAAUAAUAUUUUAAUGUAAAUAAUAUAUUUUUUUCCUUAAUCCUUUUAUAAAAAUUUAAAAGUUUUAUUAGUUUUUAAUUUCAUUAUUUAAUCUAAGUAUAUGGUAUGCUAUUGUUUUCAAUUUAGUUAUCAUUCUUUGAAUUUUAUUUUUUAUUUUUGUUGAAGUUAUUUUUUUUUAAUUUAACCUUUUAAUCAAAAACUUAUGUACCUUUUUUUUUAGUUUCUUAUUUUUACCAUUGUCUUUUUUUUUUGUAAAAGUUUAAUUUCUUUUAAAUCUAGUCCUUUAAUUUCAAUUCAUCAUAUAUAUAUAUAUAUAUAUUAGUUUAAUCCUUAUUCUUUUGAUUUUUAUUUAAUUUUUUGACUUUUUUUGUAAAAGUUUUAUCUCUUUUCAACCAAGUUCUUUAAUUUCAAUCUAUAUAUAUUGUAUUUUUAAAUUUGAUCCUUAUUAUUUUAAUUUUUUAUUUUUUUCAAAGUCCUUUUAUAAAAGUUUUAUUGGUUCUAAAUUUCACACUUUAAUGUUGUUUUAUUUUUUCAAUUUAGUUCUCAUUAUUGUAAUUUUAAUUUUAAUUUUUGUUAGAGUUAUUUCAUUUUCAAUUUAAUCCUCUAAUCAAAAAAUCUUGUACCUUUUUUUUAUUUUAUUCAAUCAAUUGAAUGUGUGUGUCUAUUUUUAUUAUCGCUUAAUUGAAUAAAAAAUUUAUUUUAAUUAAAAAAAUUAGUAAGCACAACCGUGUAAAUGUCACAUUUUAUGAAAUUAAAUAUCUUGAUUUAUAUAUUUUUUAAAUGUUUUUAAUUUUUAUUUUUAGUCAUCGUUUAUGGUACUUUUCACUUAUUAACACUUAGUUCUCAAUUUAUUUAAUUACAUAUAUAUAUAAUUUUUUUUAUUUUCACUUAGAAUUUUUUUAAAUAUAAAAUCACGCUGAAAAAGUCUAUAUGACAAUUUUUUUGUUGAGAAAAAAAAUCUAACCUAUAGUGAAAUGCGGGUCAAAUAUCUAGUAAAAUUAAAGAAGUGUGUUUUAUAUUGUAGUGUAGUGCCUUUCAGAAGUGAUUUUUACUUAAAAUAUAUUAAAAAAUAUUUUUUAAUAUCAGGACAUUAAAAUUAUUAAAAAUACUAAAAAAAUACAUCAAUUGAAUACCUUUUCAUGACAAAUAUAUUUUUAAAAUGUAUUUAGAGUCUAUUUGAUAUUAUGAUAGUAAUUUUUUUAAAAAAAAUACUUUAUUUUAAAAUUUAUUAAAACAAUAUUUUUUUAUUUUUUAAAAUUUAUUUUUGAUAUCUGAAAAAACACUAAAAAAAUAUAUUUUUUUUAAAUUUAAUUUUUUAACGAACCACAGUUAACCAAUUUCCAAACAUGUUCUUAAACGCAGUAACACGGAGAAAUUUCGCCGCCUCUCAGCCACUUCCUGUUUUGUGAGCUCUCCUGCUAAAACCUCAGCCUCUCUCUUUCUCUCUCUAAAACCCCUCUCCCCCCUUUUUAUACAUCUACUAGCAUCAACAUACACACAACUAACAACCACAACAACAUAUAGAGCUGCGAUUGGAUUGAAGCUUUUUUCGUCACUUAAUUGGUAAUACUAAUCAAUAAAGAAUGAAUGUUUAGUUCAUUUCCUUGAUAAUUUCCUUGUUUUUUAGGAACCCAUUUUUCAUUUCUUUCUUUCUUUUAUGUUGGUUUUGAUUUCUUUGAUUUUUUUUUUGGGUGUAGAAUAGUGUUUAUAGUGCAAAGUUUUGAUUUUUGGUUAUGGAAUUUGAUUGAUUUUAAUUUUUAAUAACCCUGUUGUUUAAAAUUGCAUGUGUUUUUGGGCUUUGAAAUAGUUGGUUUUUAUGUUUAUCAAUGUGGGGUGGGAUUUUGGUGUUUGUUGACUGGUCUCAUCAGUUUUAAGGUGAAAGUGAAAAUAGAUUCAUCAACGCUGGUUGGUGCUACAGGAUUCAAGUUUGUUUAGGAGUGUCCCCUGUGCGCGCGAUAACUCAAAUGGUUACUUUAGUUCAUUUUGCAAUGAUUGAAACUUGAAAGCUCCUUUUGGCUUUAAAGCUACCAGGUUGGAACUUUCCUAGACAAGCAAGUGCAGGAAGAUUUAUGUAUUCAUUUAUGCAAGAGUACUUACAGAUGCACUCAUGAACACACACAUUCGGAUUCUUUGGUAUAUUGAUGAUAUUUUCAGUUUUCACGGAACUGGGUAUUCUUUUCAUUUUGAAAGCUAGUAAACCUUAGUAAGUUUUCGAAUUAGGAGGUGAAAAUGGCUGGGAAAUCUAAUAAAGGGAGGAAUCGGAGAGGGUCCAAUAACACAACAAAUUCUUUGGAGCCAGUGGCGUCAUCAAAUGCUCCUGUGAAAGAUGACAUAACUGCUUCAGAAGCUGGUGUAGCUACUCUUAAUGAAGUACCAGCUGGGAGUGAAUCAACUAAUGGCUCCUCAGAGAUAAAGGAAUCUGAAACAGCAAAUUCUGCUAGUGAAGCAAAGCAAGGUUGUUUUUAUGAUAUUUUUUUUUUGCUUUCCUAAACCUCAUAGUGUUUCGCUAACGGCUUGGUUUGGUAGCAUUACUAUUUCUCUGCCAACCCAACCCAGUGAAACGGUUGCACCAAUCAUUUGUUGAAAUUGAGCUUAAUUAAAUGCUGCGUUACUGGUUUGUAUAAUCUUUGUCUUUUAUUUUGUCACCCAUCUCAUGUGGUGUUUUCCCUAUGAGUGCAGGUGAUCUUCAUCUUUACCCUGUCCCUGUCAAAACACAAAGUAGCGAGAAGCUUGAGCUACAAGUGAGCUAACUUGUUCCAUUUAGAUAGUAAUUGUUUUAUAGCACUCUGUGCAUUGGGUAGUACCGGUUUUUUCUGUCAUCAUUCUGCAAUGCAGAAGUUUUUUUUCCCUCCUUUGCUCAAACAAGUAACUAAUGACCUCAAGUUUUAAACAUGCUCUUGCUCUUGGCAUGUUAUUUGCUUAUUUAUGUCAACCAAUUGAUAAAUAAUACAAAAUCGCAGUUGAACCCUGGAGAUUCUGUCAUGGAUGUAAGACAAUUCCUUCUUGAUGCUCCUGAGACUUGUUUCUAUACAUGCUAUGACUUGUUGCUGCACACGAAGGAUGGUUCCACUCAUCAACUAGAAGAUUAUAAUGAAAUAUCUGAAGUAGCUGACAUUACUUCUGGUGGUUGCUCCUUGGAGAUGGUCACUGGUCUGUUAGCAUUGCUCUCUCUUUUGGUAGUAGAGAUCCAUUUAUGGACGCUUCUAACAUCGAAACUUUUUUGGCAGCACCAUAUGAUGAUAGAUCGAUCAGGGCACAUGUUCACCGCACAAGAGAAUUACUUUCACUUUCUACACUUCAUGCUUCAUUAUCAACAUCUCUUGCUUUAGAGUAUGAAACAGCACAAAACAAAGCUCCGGUUUCAGGUGGCAUGUGAUAUUCAUCCUAAAAUCAUUAUCAUUCUCCUUUAAUUACUUAUAAAGUAUUUCUUAACACUUCAUUCAGUGCCAAAGAUGUUCAUACAAUGCCUCUAAUAUAGAUACUGGAAAAACAGAGGUUCCUGAGCUUGAUGGGAUGGGAUUUAUGGAGGAUGUUGCUGGCUCGGUUGGUAAAUUGUUAUCAUUCCCAACAAAGGAAAUCAAGUGUGUGGACAGUAUUGUGUUUUCAUCCUUCAAUCCCCCUCCAAGCCAUAGAAGGUCCAGCCCUCUCACUCUCUCCUCUGACUAUUUGCACAAAAAAUCCAACAUUUCCCUUGAAGUGUGAUUUAGCAAAAUAAUUUGUUUUCUUGGUUGCCUCUCCAGGCUUGUUGGGGAUUUGAUUUAUCUGGAUGCAGUAACAUUGGAGGGUAACAAAUAUUGUGUUACUGGAACCACAAAGAUGUUCUAUGUCAAUUCAAGCACAGGGAAUGUCCUUGACCCAAGGCCCAGCAAAGCUACUUCUGAAGCAACAACCCUUGUUGGACUCCUGCAGAAAAUCAGUCCUACGUUCAAAAGAGGUAAAGAAAGGCAAUUGAGAAUUUAUAUUUUAUUGAGGCUUGAAGUUCAUUUCUCAGUUCUGACUUUUGAAUAAUAUGUUUCCUUGUGUGUUCCUAUUUUGAAGCUUUUCGUGAAAUUUUGGAGCGUAAGGGCUCUGCACACCCUUUUGAAAAUGUACAAUCUCUCCUGCCACCGAAUUCAUGGCUAGGAUUAUAUCCAGUUCCUGGUAAGUCGAACUUUUGUAUUCUAUUUUGUAUAUUUAUGCUAUUUAGUUCCUAAAGUUGCAGAACACUGCUUUAACUUGAAUGGACAUUCUUCCUUGCAAUUUUUAGUGUAAAACAACUAGCUAGGUAUUUUGGCUUCUUUCAGAUGGGGUGCGAGCUGUACUUCUAAUCUUGAUUAGUUUUGUUUUUUUGUUGCUCACUCUCAAACUUGUCUAAUUCCAUCCAAACUUCAAACUCUUCCUUCAUUUAUGUCAUUGCUUUGUUCAUUUAGAAACAUGGUCCGCCUGUCAUAGAUUUCGAGGAAGUUUCUGUUGGUAUUUUUCUCUAAGUUGUGAAUUAUAAUCUAUGCCUCACAUCAUUCCUGGUGACAAAUCUUGAAUUAAAGCUUUGAUAAGUUUUAAUGAGGUAUCCUUUAUGGAAGUUGGGGAGGGGGGUUUUAUGGUGUUGCAGCUACAUACUGGUACAAAGCAUUGUGACACAGGAAGUCAGAGGAAUAAUUAAAGACCAGAGAGAUGAAAAGAGGCAAUUGGAAGAGAAAAGACUGGAUGGAGGAGAAGGGAUCUCCUCUUCCGAGUCUGAUCAGUUUUUACCCACAUGGGGGCUAUCCAGUUUCACAUCAAUAAGGCUUUUCAAGCUUAACAGCAAUAACAACCAAAAGAAAUAAGAUAAAAUGAACCUGGCCAUGUAUCUUCCCUGAAUUCCUGUAUCUGUCCUUUUUUUUAUUCAUACCUUGAUUUUUCAGAUAGUGGUUUUUUCUUCAGGAUUAAAUUUGGCUGAAAUUACUUAUUUAGGUACCAUGUGAUCAUGUAUAUUUUCAGGCAUGCAAUGUAAGAACCGGCUGCAUCAACUAAUUAAUUGUUCUGAAAAGAUAAUUAGAAUUUUAUUUGGUGGUGAAAUUUUAUAAUAAAAUACAUUGGAUAUAUAUGCUACUAAAAUGAAGAUCAAAACAAAAGAAAAAUAGGGUUUUGAAGUACAAUUCAAGGCACUGUAGCCACAGAGCAUGUAAACAUGGCACCAAAUAUGCACUUUUGGAUGAAUUGGCUGCUAUCCAUAAAAAUGACAGAUCUGUGGAACUCAGUGGUUCAUUUGACAUCUCACCUGCAUAAGCUUCAUGAAUUUUUUUUGGGUCAGAUCACAGACCUGAUGCAGCCAGAGCGGAGGAUGCACUAACUCUUUCGUAUGGUAGUGAGCUGAUUGGCAUGCAAAGAGAUUGGAAUGAGGAGUUGCAAUCCUGUCGAGAGUUUCCCCAUUCAACUCCUCAGGAAAGGUAUACUUGUCAUAUGUGCUACUACCUUUAUAAAGUUAUGCAUGUUCUGUGCUGUUUUGUUUCUACAAUGUACAAUUUCUUUAUAUAGUUUCAUCCUCUAUCCCUUAUCAGGGUGGUUUUGUUGCAGGAUCUUGCGUGAUAGAGCUCUCUACAAAGUGACUUCUGACUUUGUUGAUGCAGCAAUUAAAGGAGCUAUUGGAGUCAUCGGCAGAUGUAUUCCUCCCAUAAAUCCAACAGAUCCAGAGUGCUUUCAUAUGUUAGUGGGACCCUUAUAACUUCUGAAUUUCUAUUCCAUCCUUGAAGUCAAUGCUAUUUGCUGGUUUGAGCAUUGCUUGAUGUAUGCUGCAUUGAAUGAUUACGGGCUAUGCAAGCUAAAAUGCUAUUUCUUUGAGAGGUUUGUGAUCAUUAGUAAACUUUUCCAUAAUAUCUCAUUCUUGUUCAUUCUUAUUCUAGGUAUGUUCACAACAAUAUAUUCUUCAGUUUUGCUGUGGAUUCGGACCUUGAACAGCUCUCCAAGAAAUGUAAUUCAGAUGCUAGUUCAAAGACUGAGAACACUAGUUCUUCAAUUAAAUCAUCUGAAAAGGCCACUGCCAAUGGGGUGAAAUGUGACGGAUCAACCGUAGAAGUGAUGGAAUUGCCUCCCGAAUCUUCUGAGCCACAGUUGGCUGAGAGUGAACAAGCUACAUAUGCUUCGGCAAAUAAUGAUCUGAAAGGCACCAAAUCCUACCAGGAAGCUGAUGUCCCUGGUUUAUAUAAUCUUGCCAUGGCCAUAAUUGAUUACAGGGGUCACAGAGUGGUAGCCCAGGUGUGCAUCAUAGAUGCAAUUCUUCUUUCUUUCUCGCAUUCGCCAUCACACUCAAGUUCACAUACACGAAAACACACUCACAUGCAUGCACCACUAUAGUCUAACAUGCAUGCAUGCAGUUAUCAUUGAAGUUAUAUAAAAAAGGAAUGCAAUUUUAGGCAAAUUGCUCUCUCUUGCUGCUUGACAAAAUUGGUGUCUGCUUUUUCUGUCAUCAUAGGUUAUAUGAUUACUUAUUUGCUAAAGAUUGCUCUUUCUCUCAUCUUAGGGAAAAAAAAAUAUCGCAAAUCCUAAUCCAUUUGAGUUUCCCAUUGCAUUGAACUUCCUGUCUUACUUGACAGCCAGUGGUCAUUUUUGUUGUUCCUGUCUUUUCUUUUUUAGACUUAUUUUUAAUGUUUUUGGCCCUAUUAUCAUCCCACUCUUCUUUUGAAUUUUGUUUUAGAGUGUCUUACCUGGCAUUCUUCAAGGGGAUAAAUCAGACUCUCUGCUGUAUGGUUCUGUUGAUAAUGGCAAGAAAAUAUGCUGGAAUGAAGGUUUUCAUUCCAAGGUGAGCAGAAAUUUAAGUUAUCAUUAUGGGUUGAUGGUAAUGCAUCAUUAAUUGAGAGCAUCUUGUAUUCAGGGUAGAUAAUUUUGUUACUAGUCCUAGGAAGUAUGUUCGUAUCUGGCAUCAGCUAUAUAUCCUGGGCACCAUGCUACAUCCAAACAUUAGUAUGUUCUCAGAUUUGUAUAUCACACUUUCUCGUUAAGUUCUGAUCUCUGUGCGACUCAGGUGGUUGAAGCUGCCAAACGCCUGCAUCUAAAGGAACAUACUGUCCUAGAUGGAUCCGGGGAUGCUUUCAAAUUAGCUGCACCAGUGGAAUGCAAGGGCAUUGUGGGUAGUGAUGACAGGUGAGGUGAUUGAUCUCCUGGGUUUUUAUCUUUAUAGUUUCUCUUCACUUCUAUCACUUGGUGGCCUUUUCUCUGUCUUCUUUAUUGCCUUUUUUGUAUUAUGGUAAUGAUUAAUAAUGACACCAUCAGUAUGGGAACUGCCUUACAUGGCUGCUGAUCCUUCUGUAGUUGUAUUCUUUUUUCACUAAAAUAUGAAAUGAAAUUAGCAUUUGCAUUACCGUGCUUCUAUCUUUUAAUAAACUUUCAGCAUCAAAGUGCUGUUGAGUGGAGUUCGGUGGUACCUAAUUGUUAACAUCCAUAGAAUAUUCAUUCUUUUAUAAGCGCUUGUUAUGAUUGGUAAUUUUAUUUCUUUUAUCAGGCAUUAUCUACUGGACUUGAUGAGAGUAACUCCUCGUGAUGCAAACUAUACCAGACCUGGCUCGCGGUUUUGCAUAUUGAGACCAGAAUUAAUCACUGCCUUCUGUCAGGUAUGUUCACGUGGACAAAAUUUGGUAAUCAUGGGCUUAUUUCUGCAUGUUCAUUCUUUUUUUUUUUUAACGGCAAAGGCCGGAGCUGUGGCAAGGUUGAAGAGUAGACCUAAAUCUGAGGGAGGGGUUCAAGUUGCUACUGAUUCUACAGAAGUAGCUGGUGCUGAUAAGCAAGUUAAAUCUGAGGAAGCUGCAGUGCCCGUCAACAAUCAAGUAAGAUUGUUUGGCAACCUUUUCUUCACUUCUGGCACCAUGCUAGAAUAAAUUGCACUUUAUGAGGUUCAUGUGAUUGAAAUGCAUGCAUGCAGGGGGUCGUCUGGAGGGUUCCUAUGCAAUUGAAAUGUUUGUUUGUUUUAUUUGGUCAUAAAUGCUGCAACAUGACACAGUUGUGACUGAGGGUGGAACAUUCUCUUAUUAUAUCUGAAGCUAUACAUAGUUACAGUGUUAUGUUCAAACAGUGAUGCAUGGCUUCAGAUUUCUUCGGAGGGCAAGUGUAAACUGAAUUUUUUUUAUAAAUGUCAAGUGCAUUUUAUUGUAAUAUGUAUAUGAACACUAUUACCCACAAGUGUGUGAGCACUUAUUUGAAUCAUGUGGCUUUUUGCAUUCGUCUUCAGGAGAUAACUAAAGAAGGGAAAGCUGACACUGUAGAAGAAAGUGCUCCUCCUCUUGCUGGAAGCUCUGAAUCCCAUGAAGAAAUACUUUUUAACCCUAAUGUUUUUACUGAGUUCAAGUUGUCUGGGAAUCCAGAGGUGAACAUCUAACUUUCAGUUUUCUUAUUGUAAAUUCCAUUAUCCAUUUGAAUUUGCUGGUUUUCUUAGUGACCAAAUACCUUUGUUACCAAUCGUGGCCCAAAAGCUGUUCCGGUAGCCACAUAGUAACACUAAACAACUAGGAGUUCAUAUUAUUUUUUCAAUUGCCAUUUAUCAGGAGAUAGCAGCGGAUGAAGAAAAUGUGAAGAAAGUUAGUUCAUAUCUUGCAAAUACUGUGCUUCCAAAGUUCAUCCAAGAUCUUUGCACACUUGAAGUCUCACCCAUGGAUGGACAGACUCUUACUGAAGCACUACAUGCUCAUGGAAUUAAUGUUCGCUACAUGGGAAAGGUAAGCUUAUACAUUUAUUUAAUGCUCUCUAACAUUUGUGCUAAGAUUCUGACAAAUUAUUUCGUCAAAGAACAAGUUUUGUAGCUCAACUUAAAUUUGAUUUAUUAAUAUAGUGAUAGCAGAAGUCACUAUUAUUUAAUCUGUUUUCUGUUAUUGGGUUAUUACAUUUGACACAAAUCAAUGAUUUCUUUAGGUUGCUGAAGGGACAAAACACUUACCUCAUCUAUGGGAUCUUUGUUCUAAUGAGAUCAUUGUCAGGUCUGCAAAGCACGUCCUCAAGGUGAUCAGCUUUAUCUGACCCCCUCAAAUGCUACAUAUUGCUGUUCUUUCUAUUUUUCAAAAAAAAAAAAGUGCUGACUAACUUUUGAAGGUCUUCAAAUUAAUGCAAGGCCUAUUGCCUGCAUGUUGACAGCAUAGUGUCUGUAGUGUUUUUGGCAACUGGACCACCCAGUUUUGUAAGAGAGGCAUUUUGUAGUUCUCUAAAGUCUUUUCUUAGUAUAAUUUUGCUCCAGUUAAUCACUAGUUAGUUGGUAUUUGGUCAGUCCAGGCCAGGCAUCUGUCUUCAAGUGAUUUUGUUGCAUGUGCAAACCUGUUUGGGACAGAAGCUGCUUUCAUUCUAUCCUUUCUAAUGCAUUAUAUGCGCAUCUUGUCAUUAAUUGGCAAGAGAUCUUUGAUGCAAACUGUAGAAAAAUGCUAAUGUUCUGCAGAAUACAGCUAUUAGAUCAGUGACUCCAUGUGGGGCCCGCUGAUCUAAUGGACAGAUUUUUUUGGGGAUGAGUCUCUGGUAGGCUGGACUAGUUAUUAAUUGAUCUUCAUUUGCUGUUCAAAUUUAAAUUCUCCUAUCUAGUUACGGGGAUUGGUGGCUGUUUUGAUUCAUCAAUUUCAUUUUACAUGGGCAAGAACAGCAAGCUGUUAUUGUGCAAUCACAAUAAGAAAUUCUAAGUUUUCUUAUUGGCAUUUGCGGAGGACACUAAAUAUGAAAAAGUGCACACGCAAGCACAUAUAUGUCCUUUAAACCCGUGCCUCUGGUACUAAGCGAUUGCCUUUCUCCUGCCUUCUUUUUGUUCUGUUGAUACAGGAUCUCCUCAGGGACACAGAUGAUAAUGAUUUAGGGCCAGCAAUCUCUCAUUUUUACAAUUGUUUCUUCGGAAGUUGUCAAGCUGUUGGUGUGAAAGGUUCAACUAAUAAUUCACCUUCAAGAGCAACAAAGAAAGUAUGUCUACAAAAGAUUACUAGUCAUAAUUGUUUUUCAGUUACUUCCAUCACACAUUGUAUUUGCUCCUAAACUGUCAUGAGCUAUACUUCUUAAGGCCCCCAUUUGCUAUGUUUUCCCUUCUGACCAUUCCAUUUCCCAGAUUUGAUAGGUCGAAUCUCACAGGAAGAGGACUUGUGUUUGAACUUGAAAUAUUUUUACGAUUAUAUCUAAUCUCUUUCAUCAAUGUUUAAUCGACUGGUUUCUUAUGUUGGAACACUUACAGGAACAAGCUAGCAAUCAUUCUUCAAGAAAAUCCUCUAGGGGCCAAACAAGGUGGAAAGGAGCAUCUGCAAGAAAGAACCAAUCCUCAUAUAUGAAUGUUAGCUCAGAAACUCUAUGGUCUGACCUUCAGGAACUUGCAAAGCUCAAAUACCAGGUAUCUUUUACCAUCAUGUGGGUUAUAUAAUUUGAGAUUAACUUGAAAUUGAAUUAGUCCAUUUUCUUACAUGGCUUUUUAUUUGACUUAUGAGAAACGUUGCUAUUAUCAUUUGUAAUGGGGCAUUAUUCUAUUACCUUAGCUCUAAAAUAUAAGAUGCGAGUAUAAUAUGCUGGAUCUAAUGUUCUCCUAUGUGUAGUUUGAGUUGCCAAAGGAUGCGAGGUUACAAGUGAAGAAAGUCUCAGUUAUACGCAACCUUUGCCAAAAGGUCCGUUUCAGUUCCUAUGUCAUCCAUCAUAUUGACAUACUUAUAUUUUUCGUUGGUGGGGUUUUCACAAUGAUUGAUUUUUGGUAAAUGACAUUUCCAUCCUGUGCUGCCUGGAACAUUUUUUUUUUUUCCAUAUAAGUAUAUGUUCAUUAGUGGCCAUAAAUGCCCAUGCUUCUUUUUUCUUCUACCACUGUGAUCAUUGUUUCCUAUUAUUGUUUUCUUGCCAAAGAAAAACAUUUUAUGUUUGCCUUUGGGGUGCUAAUUGUAAUUAUAUUCUGGUACUUCAGAAUAGACUAGUGAAUUUCAUGUUGGUUGUGGUUGACAUUCUAAAUGGCAAAUGAUUUGUGUUUUAUGUGGUUCCCUUAACAGGUGGGCAUCACCAUUGCAGCUCGCAAAUAUGAUCUCCAUACUGCAAUGCCUUUCCAAAUGUCAGAUAUCUUGAAUCUCCAACCUGUGGUGAAGCAUUCAGUUCCUCUAUGCUCAGAAGCCAAGGAUCUUGUGGAAACAGGAAAAGUUCAACUGGCUGAGGUAUGUCCUGGACAAGGUUGCCUUCAUUAGUGGUCUUGUAUUGUACUGUGUUGAUCCUUCAAGAAUUAAAUUCUUUGAUUGGGAUAGUGCUUUUUCCAGAACAGUUACAGGUUUUUAGCUUCAAAUUUAGUUGUGUUAAAAUCCUAUUUGAGCAUGGGUUAAAAUGGAUUUCAUCACACCAUAAUUUUGGUAAAGACAGUAUCUGAAAAAAAAAACAGAAUAUUAUUAUUUGGUAACCUAUUUUCAAGUAGUAUAGCCUUGCAUGAUGGCAAGUUGCAAGCCUAGCAUAUGAUCUUGGACUUUGUAGAAUGUAAAAACAUUUCAGAGAAUAUGCUACGUGUUUCUUGAAAGUUGUUUGCGGUUAUUUAAUACUGUUGUUUUCUUUUGCUUCAGGGGAUGCUUAGUGAAGCCUACACAUUAUUUUCUGAGGCAUUUUCAAUUCUUCAACAGGUAUGUUGUUCUUUUUUCUUCAUCCAGUUGGGAAGUCUCUGAGAUAAAUAUCUUGACCAUUUUAUUUUGUUUUCCAUUUUUCAACAGGUAUUUUGUUCUUUUUUCUUCAUCUAGUUAGGAAGUCUCUGAGAUAAAUAUCUUGACCAUUUUAUUUUGUGUUUUAGGUGACUGGUCCAAUGCAUCGUGAGGUUGCUAACUGUUGUCGGUAGGUAUUGUAAUUCAAUAACCAAACAAUUCUUAAUUUCUGAUUCUGUUUCCUUGACUUUUUGUCAAUGACAUGUGAAAUCAUGCUUAUUUUAACUAUCUGAGUAUACUUUGAAAAUGCAAGGUCAUCUACAAUAAUCAGACCCAACUUCAACUAGCUUUUUCUAGUCAGCAGUGAUUCUCUGUUUAUUCAUUUGCACUUGAACUUGAAUAUUCAGGUACCUGGCCAUGGUUCUGUACCAUGCUGGUGAUAUGGCUGGAGCAAUCAUCCAACAGCACAAGGAGUUGAUCAUAAAUGAACGUUGCCUGGGAUUAGACCACCCUGAUACUGCCCACAGGUAUCAUUUCCUUGCAAUUUUGUCCUUCGUAUUAAGUUAAUUUGCAGUGGUGUGUUGUUAUUUUGCUGUGCACUGACAAUUGUCUGACAAAUUUGCAUUCUUAAAUUCUUUGAAAAUUGAGAUAUCUUCAUUUCAGUUUCUGCAUUCAAAAGUUGGCAACCUGUUUAAAAUUCGUUUGGUUGAAUUGGCUCACUGUGUUUUUGCAAUUAUGCAGUUAUGGAAACAUGGCUCUCUUUUACCAUGGACUGAACCAAACAGAACUUGCACUGCGACACAUGUCUCGUGCGCUGCUCUUAUUGAGCUUGUCAUCUGGUCCAGAUCACCCUGAUGUGGCUGCAACCUUCAUAAAUGUUGCAAUGAUGUAUCAGGACAUUGGAAAGAUGAACACGGCUCUUCGCUAUCUGCAAGAGGCCUUGAAAAAGAACGAGAGGCUUUUAGGAGAGGAGCAUAUUCAAACUGCUGUAUGCUACCAUGCUCUUGCAAUCGCAUUUAACUGUAUGGGCGCAUUCAAGCUAUCACACCAGGCAUGUUUUUGCUUGACAUUUCUUUAGUAUUGAUUUUCUCUGAUAUAGAGAAAGCACAGAUGACUGAAUUAGCUUUUGCUUGUGCACAGCAUGAGAAGAAAACCUACGACAUACUUGUCAAACAACUUGGUGAGGAGGACUCAAGGACACGAGAUUCCCAAAACUGGAUGAGCACAUUUAAGGCACGAGAACUGCAGGUUGAUGCAGUGUUACAAAAAUGUUAUUUUAUUUUUCUGUUUCUCAGUUUCUGAACUUUUAAUAUUUUUUUAAUUACAGAUGAAUGCACAGAAGCAGAAAGGUCAGACAUUGAAUGCAACUUCUGCUCAAAAGGCGAUAGAUAUAUUGAAGGCAAGUGUUAUUUAAUUUUUCUUUGAUUUAAUCUGAUGAGAUGGUUUAUUGGUAUUUAGAUGAUGGAUAUGGCCAUUUUAUCAUUUUUGUGCUUGUGGAAAUGGUUCGCUGUAAAACAUAAAGCAUGCCCAAGCAGCUGUGCUAAAAACAUUGUGCAUUCAUCAGAAAUUCUUUGUUUUGCCUGAUACAAUUUUCUUCCAGUUUUGUGUAGCCCUUACAUCUCUAAUUAGUAAUUGCACGAAGUUAAGUGACAAGAUGUAUAGUCUCUUUGUAAGUGUCUGCUGGUGUCUAUUGGAGACCAGAAUUUCUGAUGUUGAUUUGAGUGUCAGGCUAAUCCUGACCUGCUGCAUGCAUUCCAAGCUGCUGCUGCUGCUGGAGGAUCUGGAUCUGGGAGCUCUAGCAGUUCCAUUAACAAAUCCCUUAAUGCAGCAAUAGUUGGUGAAGCCCUUCCACGAGGGAGGGGAGUCGAUGAACGAGCUGCUCGUGCAGCAGCAGAAGCUAGGAAGAAAGCAGCUGCUAGGGGGCUCUUGAUUCGCCCGCAUGGUGUUCCUGUACAAGCUUUGCCACCAUUCACUCAGCUCCUCAACAUCGUUAACUCAGGGGCGACUCCAGAUUCCAUCAACAACGAGGAAGCUGGUGGAGUGAACAAUGAAGCUAAUGGACAGUCUUCUAAUGACCCAGUAGAUAAACAAAAAGAUCAAACAUCAGGGAAAGAUCAGGCUCCUAUUGGGUUGGGCAAAGGCUUAAAAUCAUUAGAUGCCAAGAAAGAGAAAGCAAAGGCCAAAGUUGCAGCUUGAAGUUUCGAGGCGGAGAUUGGAUUGAUCAGUGGCAAGACUUGAACAAUUGGAAGUGUUCGUAUUUCUUGCCAUUUGUGGGGGGGCAUCAUUUCAUAAUCAAUUACAGUGGUGACCAGCCGUCAACUACUCGUAGAAACUGAAGAGUACCGAGGUGUGCCAAAGAAACCAUCUGUGUUCGUUUUGUCCAAACAUCACCCUCGUAGAUAUAAUUGAUUGAGCAUGCAUGGGGAUCAUGAGGUGCGAGAUAGAUGAUAAAUGACAUGUUGUUAUGUAGGUACACUAUAUAAAUUGAUGAUUAGUUUUCCAGCUAGUUUUGUAACUUCAACUCAAAAAUUAGUUUUGUAAUUUGUUUGCAAGGGCUGCAUGCUCUUGGCACCCUUGGUCUGUAAGGAAUAAAGGAUUACCACUUUUUUAUAUUUUUUUAUUAAUGAAAAUAAUAUAUUUUUUGUUUUAUAGUAGCCUUGUGAUGGAAAAUAACACUGCUAGUUGCCGUUGCAGCAUGGCAUAUUGAAAGAAUGGCGCCUGUUUGAUGUUGUAUUCGUUGUAAUCGUCUUUUCCACGACGAGGGGUGGGUGUAACUAGUUAUUAGCCUCGUGUUUAUUUGAUUCAGGUUUUUUUAACAUGUUUUUAAAUAUAAAGAACUUUUCAACCAUAAAUUGAAAUAUUUAUAUACUUAUUAAAUUAAAUAAAUUGAUAUUUGAUAAAAUAAUAAUAAUAAUAAAGAUUAAGAUAUUUUUGUUUAUAAGAAUAAUUUUUUGAAUAGUGAAAUAGAAAAAAAUAUUUUUUUUAACAGAAAGCAAUGAAAAAAAAAAUCUGAGUUAACCCGGGUUAAUCUGCUAACCCGCGACUAUGGACAUAAAAUUGAGAUAGCUCGAAAAACAAACAAAAAAAAAAAGAGCAAUCUAAAACAAAUAAAUAUUGAAUGAUAAAAUUAAAAAAAAAAUCAAUUUUUAAAAAUGACAAAAAAAAAAUCAAAAUCAACUCUUAUUAACCUUCGAAUCCGUGACUGUGGUUAUUAGGCUAGGAUUAACCGCAUAGAAGGCAUAUAAAAAAAUAAAGCAAGAUACUCAAUUAAAAAAUAUACUGAGCAGUGAAACUAAAAAAAAUAGUAAUGGAAAAAAAAUUUUAGUUAAUUCAUGUUAAAAUACUAACCCUGUGAUCAUAGAAAUAAGAUUGAGAUAGCUCUAUAUAAAGGAAAUGAAGAAAAAAUCACGAAAAUCAAUUAAAAAAAAUCAAAUAUUAAAGGAUAAAAUUAAAAAUAAAUCAAAUUUAUAAAAGGACCUAAAAAAGAUCAAAUUCAACUUAUGUUAACCUUCAAAAUCUAUGAUCCUAGUCAUGAGACCGAUUAACCCUAUAGAAGGAAAAAACAAUUCUCAAUAAAAAAAAAUAUUGAGAGAUGAAAUUAGACAAAAAAAAGCACAAUAAAAAAAGAUAAAAAUAAUAAAACAAUAAAAGAGGGGUCUAAAUUCAAUAUAAAAAUAAAUUAAAAUUAAAUGUUAAGGGAUAAAAUUAAAAAUAAAAUUCAAUUAAUAAAAAGGUUAAAAGAAAUAAAAAAAAACGAGGACAAAAUCUAAUUAAUCAAAUGAUGAGAGAUAAAAUUGAAGAAAAAUAUAAUGCUAAGGUUUGAAAUUGAAAACAAAAUUUAAUUAGUGAAAGGCUUAAGAAAAUUAAAAGAAUGAGGACUAAAUUUGAUAUAAAAAUCAAAUUAAACCAAAUGAUAAUGGACAAAAUUAAAGAAAAAAUUAAUUUAAAGAAGUUAAAAAUAAAAAAAUAACAAUAAAAAGAAUAAAGACCAAAUUAAAUAUAAAAAAUAAAUAAAAAUACAUCUACACUUUGCUAAGAAGAAAGAGAAAGAAGGAGGAGAAGAAAGAAACUCAUCAAAACCAAGCCAACAUUUCAUUGCGUACAUGCAUCGUACCAUAAAAAAAAAAAUGCUAACGUGCUUCCAAACAUCGUUGUGAAAGGUAGCUUUUCACCUUUAUAAAAAAUGCAUGUGUCACUUGAAGGGUGUAGGUGAUGCCUUAUAUCUUGUGCAUGCAUGGUAUAACAAAAAUAACAAUAGUAAAAAUAAAAAUGUCUAUAAAGCCCCAAUCUGCCCAUUUAUUUAUUUGUUUUCUCCCAAAACUAUUCUAGUCAUUGCAUUGUCACAAAAUAAUAUAAAAAGACCCACCAUGAUUUAAGAGUUUUGUUAAUAUACAAAUAGAUGAUCAUUUUAGCAUUUUACCUGAGUCAUAACCAGUCUCUCGUUUCCCUUUUUCUACCAAUCUCCUCUCCCUUUUUAGUAACAAUUCCCUGUAGUUCCUGUGGCUAAUUUUCCACAGGCCGUAGGAGCCCCUCCUCUCCCAAUUUUCGAGAUGGAAUUCAAACGUUGUUAAAAACAUAUUUUUAACACGACAUAAAAAAUAUAAAAUAAAAUUGGAUUGUAAAAUCAUAAAAGUAUAGAAUUUUUUUUAUAUAUAUAAUUCAAGCACCUUAAAAUACAUGCUUCAAAUAAAAACUAAUACAUAAUUCAAAUAUUUUAAAAUACUAUUUUAAAAUAUCAUGGUUCAAAUAAAAAUUCAUUAAUAAUUUAGGUAAAGGAGCAACCUGCAUCGGCUAGAAAAUUUAUUUGUGUAAUUCUCUUCCUCUUCAAAAUGUUUGUUUUGGUCAUCAUGAAGAUGCUUCAAUAUGCCUAUAUGCAUCCCAAAUCAGCACAUUGAUCCAGCAGAUUUAACAAGCAAAAAACCUCAAUAGUGCUACCAAUAAUCACUGCAAGAACAAAUGCCAUUCUUGAAGUGGUGAAAGCGGCCACAAUCUCUGACAACAAUCUUGCAUCCUACAAUCUUUGACAUAAGCUUAAUAACAAAGUGACAAUCCCCACAUACACAAAGAUUCUUCAUGACUGUUAUUGUGUUACCCUCCACGGUGUUAACUAGCCCAAAUGCAAUAGCAAAUCUCUUACUGUGAAAAGACAACAUCUCUUCUUUCUGCUCAUCCUCGACAUCAUGUAGAGCAAAUUUUUAAUCAAGAACAUAACCAAAUUCCUUUAACUUUUUUCCUAACCAGUCCAGCUUUUCAUAUAUUCUCACUUAGAGAAUGAGAUCUGUCUACAGAAAGAAACUCUGUUUCUUUCCCCUCAAAACUACCCAACUAGAUCCUAGUUGUUUUGCAAGUCCUUCUAGAGACAUCGGCCACAAAUUAGGCUCUUAAUUAUUAUUUUUUGGUUGCAACUAUCCACCCUAAUUUUUUUUAUAAGACGAUAUGUUGUCUGAUAUGGUGGUUAGAAAAUUGGGACUUAAGUUUUUUUUACCCAAAAACAUGUUUUUAAUCUAUUUUGACCCCAAACACCUAAGAAACUAUAAUAAAUCUAUUCAAGGCCUAAAAAAAUCAAAAAACCAUCCAAAAAAACCCAAAAUAAAAAAUUUAACCGAGUUCAAAUUUUUUUUAUUCAUGAAAUUUUAAGGUAAAAAACACCUAAUAUGAAUUCUUCUCAUCAAAUAGAAGCAUUUAGCAUAAAUAUUGAUUAUUUUAGUGGCCUAAAUCAAUGUCAAAAAUAUUGUUUUUUCUCUAUUACCAAAAUCUAGUGAUUUUUAUCUUCUCUCUUAAUCGGGGAAUAAAAGAUUAAAAAAAAGAAUUGUAUCAAAAUUGAAUUUGAAAAAAACAAAGGCAUCAAAAUCAUAUUAUUUAUGUUAUUUUCAAAGUUAGAGGAUCAAAGUAUUUUUUUUAAACAGUGAUGGUAAGUGAUUUGGAGUUCCAAUGAAAGGCGGGAAAAUUGACCUCUUACCAUGCAACUGAGGAUCCAUUGAAUAUCCUCAUGAAGUCGUGUAAGAAAUAAAAAACAUAACAUCGGCAGAGGGCAAGCAAGAUGCAUCUGAUGACAUAAUAUUUACCGUAUCCUAUUCAUUAUUUAUCGAUUAAAAAUAAUGCGUAAGAAAUUUAAAUAUUUAUAAACUUCGUUUAUUAUGUUUUGAGUUUCUGUUAUCUAAUUAUUAUUUAUUAUUCAAUAAAAAAUUAAAUAAUUUAUAUAUAACUCAUUAUAUUAAAAAAUCUAAAUAUUUUACAAAUAUAUCUAUAUAAAAUAAAUAUAUAUUUUAAAUUAUAUUUGAAUAUAAAUACAUACUCAGUAAUUAUAACCAUCCAUUCGGAUGAGUCAAAUUGAUUCUAGCUGGUUCAGGGUGCAAACAACAUUUCCUCAUAUUUUGUUUUUUUUUUUUAACUAAAAAUUAUUUAUAUAUAUAUAAUUUAAUUAUUUUGAUACGCUAAUCUUAAAAAUAAUAUUUUAAAAAUAGAAAAAAUAUUAUUUUAAUAUAUUUUUAAAUAAAAAAUUCUUUAAACAACAACCAUUAUCACAAUAAUAACCUAAAUUACCAUCCUUAGAAAUUGGAAAUCCAAGGGAAACGCAGGCACGUGCCCUGUUUUACCUACCACCAAACCCGCAAAAUGUGCAGCGCUCUUAUUAUUGUUAAAUUGCAAGAGAUUGAAAUGAACAUGUGGGAAAUAAUUCAAUCAUUGUGGUGCAAACUACAAAAUAUAAUAUAUGUACAAAGUCAAGCUAUUCAAAUGGAAGGCUACCAUUUUGUAUCAAAUGGGGAUGGUGAUUUGUUGGGGGGGAACACACCAUCCAAAAUAAAUAGAAAGUCAGAUACAUAUCAACUUUUCUCCUACAAAACUUCUGAAACAGGAUGGUAUCCAUUGACCUUUUUCCUGUCCUCUAUCAUUCUCUUGUGUUGCAUAAUCUUCUAAGCAAUAAAAUGGGAUGACGAGCAGAAGAAAAUAUUACCCUGGUCUCACCCAGAUGCUCCAACAGCACGUUUUUCGUAUUCACCAUGUUCUUCUUUGGCAAACUCCUCAAUCAAUUCACGCUGUCUUGGGGUCAAAUUUCUGUAGCAAAAUAUGUUUUCUGUAAAGGUAUUGUCUACCACUUGAAAAACUAAGGAGCUAAAAGGAUGGCUAUAGUUAUCAUAUAUUAUGCAUUGCCCAUACACGCCAUCCAAAAAUUAUGGGCAAAACAGAACAUAAAAUCUCUAUAUAAUUCUUCAUUCAUCCAUUUCUAGUAGUGGGCAGAGCAGCAAAUACAUCCAAAAGUUGAGCAGAGUUAAGUAAAUUGACAAAGAAAAGAAAAGACCAACUCACAAUGGAAUGCUGACAUUGAAGUGCACAAACUCAUCACCAAAUGAAUACGAUCCCCGUGCUUUUAUCCCUGUCAGGAAAUACAAAGAAAUUCUUACUUCAUCAGACAAAAGCAGAGUAGCAGACCGCACACAUGAAGGAAUAAGGAACAUCCCUGAGAACCAUAACAAACUACUGAGGCUUUUCCAAAUUUAUCAUCAUUAAUUCAGUAUUUAACAAAAAAUUUCAGCAGAUUCUUGGAUAAGAUCUAGGAUAAGGAAACAAAAGCCACUUAAAAAAUUGAAAACCAUAAGCUUGGAGGUAUGCUAACAAGAUAACCUCCAGCAGGAAUAUAGCACCGAAAGCUAUCUAAGACAGGUGUGAGCAGAGCAAGAACUGGCAUUCAUCUCACCUUUAUUCUUCAGAACCACCUUUUGACCAGGUUGGGUGCCAGGGCGUACCUGAAAAUAUAUAACAGGUUAAGGUAAGAUGAGUUAGUUUAUUUUUUAGAAUAAUCAAAUCAUGCAAAAUGAUUUCCAACAAACCUUAAGUACAACAUCUCCUGUGAGAGUUGGAACCUUGAUGGUUCCCCCCAACAUUGCCUGCAAAUAGCAAUUGAAUGAAUUUUUACAUUAGGCAUAAAUACUAAAUAGUUAUGAUUUAUAAUAGGUAUAUAUCAAAACAAGCUGCAAAUUCUAUAUGUUUCUGCAAGAAGACCAUCUGAACCGAGUGCCACACUUUAUUUAAAAAAUAAACAUACAAGUAUAACCCAUAUCUCAAGCUAACAAAGGAAUUUCUAAAUGAGAACCUUGGAAUGUACUGAACCACAAAGCAAGCAGGAAAGGAUUCCUGUUCAUUAGAAUCUUGGUAUUUUUCUAGGACAAUGAAACACAAAAGUUUUUACCUGAGUAAUGCCCAAAACAGCAUCAACAUGAAUGUUAGAGCCUUCUCUGCGGAAAACAGGGUCUUCCCGGACCUGUGGGGGGAGGAAAAUAACGACUUCAAUAACAUGGAAAAUGAAAUAGCUGCAAUAAGAUCAGAGGAAGUUGACAAGCAUCACAGGAGACUAGACAGUCUAAGCACACUAGAAGUACACAAGCAAAGAGAGCAAAACAAAUGAAAGAAAGAGACAGAAAACCACCAAAAAACUAAAAUUUCAGAGAGCCAGGAGAUCAUUCACAGUGGAAAAGGACACUAAAAAAUAUAUAUUUUCCUUAAAACGCUCACUUUUUAUUCAUCUUUCAAAUGUUGUCAUAACCCUGCAUAAAAUUCAGCAGACAAGGUGAAUCUACCAUCCAUGUCACACUGUUCUCUUUCCUGAUUACCCGGUCCAGCUUGCCAAGCAAUCAAUGACCAUUGAAUAACCAUUUAAAACAAAAUAAAGAAACAAAACUCAUCCAAGAGUUUGCCAGCUAGAAGGCAAUGUGAAAACUAAAGCUACAUAGUCUGCUCGUUAUGCCAUGAAAAUGCAGUAAGAGGAACAACCAUCCAUACAAAUAAAAAAGGCACAAAAGAAACAAAAUCAUAUAAAACAACAUCAUGCUAAAUAAUGCUGUCAGGAAAUGUUAUUGUCCUUCAUUUCCACACUACAUCCUAAAACAUCACACUAGCAAGCAAAGAAAUAGGGAACACACAAAAAUAGCAGCACAAAAAUAUUAAACAAGUUGAAUUACCUUGAUUGUCACAUAGAGAUCACCAGGUUGAUUUUUUUCAGGGUCUGCUCCGCCACUUUUAUGGAUCUUCAUAGUCUCAUUGUCAUCCACUCCUGCAGAUGUCAAGAAACUCAAAUUAAAUCACCAAAUCCAGCAAAAAGUUCCACAUGGGAAAAUGGGCAACCGAAUAUAUAGACCAUAUUCAUGAGUGUUUCCAGAAAUCAGAAGUUGAGCUCACUGGAUAAUGUCCCUAUCUAUAUAUUAUCCCUAAUAAGUGUCUGGGUGUAAAAAUAAUGACUGGAAAGAAAUUCUGUUUUAAGACAGAAAGCGGUCAACUUUAUCCCCCAUUUAUCCACUCAAGGACUUUUUACUCUAUUUUCACCAGUAGCAUGUUCAACACCAGGAAACUACGUUUGGUACAUGAGAAACCAUGUCCACAUCCCUCUUUCUUUACAUAUUUUAAAUCAAUUAAAGAGAACUUCUUUAGUCCAAAUUCCAAAUUCAAUUCUAAGGAAUAAGAAUCAUUUUGAAAGCCAGAGAAAACAAAUAAGCAGAUCUAAAAUGGUUCCGUUCAAUUCACAUGGAAAGUCUGUGCAAGUCUGCUUUUUUUUUUUAAAGCAAGAUUGAUUUGUUCUAAAAACAAUUCCCUCCAAAACAACUCAACCAGAGCUACACCUGUCUUCCAGAAUACCAAUAAGAAAGACAAUGUGCAAGAUCAAAGAAAGUUUGUUACAAGCAAUUGCAUUAUCACACCAGUCUGCAGGAAAGCAAGUGUACUGUAGUAAAUCUUGAAGGGUAUUCAAGCUCCUAAUUUAACCUUACCUAAUCUAGUUUUUUUUUUUUAAAGGAAAAUCUGUCAAUCUGUCAAUUUUAUAUUUUAUUUCAUAAAUGGUGUUAGGAUGAUAGAGGAGUUUAUUUGUCAGAUUAAACAAAAGCCCUGACUCAUUGCUAUCAUUGUUUAGGGUUCUUCUGUUCCACAAAUAGUAGAUACCUAAAUAUAAUUGUUGAAACUAAUCUAGCCUUCAUUUUUUAUUUCAUUAACUUCAUGGUUCAUUCAAGCACCCAAGAACUCGAGCUUGAAUGGAAACUUGAAGUUCACAUCUCUGGUUUAUUUAGCUUCUAAUUGCUUUUGGUACCAUAACUAACAAAUCUAGAAAAGCGCUCAAGGAAACAACCACACUAUCCUUUGUUCCAUAUGAGAUGCCUAAUGUGAGAAACAUAAAAAAUAACUAUGAUGUACCGUUACAAGACCACAUUGUGUGGAGCAUGUAAGAGCGCUACCCUUGGGCAGAAAAUAAGACCACAAUAUUGUACAAGGACGGAAAUUUAACAAGAUGAUUCAAGAUCAACAAACAAACCUGUUGGAAUGUUCAACGAAAUUGUCUUUGAUCCUCUCACUACUGUGUGUCCAUGGCAAGACCUGCAAAAGCUCUGACACCACCAGUAGUAAAGCAUAUGCAUUAAUAUUAAAAAAGAAAACCAAGGGACUUAGACCCAUCAUCUCAUCAAAUUUUGGAAAAAUUGUUAAAAAAUGUGUUGCCAAAGUUAAUCAAAGCUGCCAAAUUGCAAGAAUCCAGAAGCCAACAUUAAUGCAAUCAUGCACAACAGUUUAAAAUAAAAAUUCUUCACUAGUGCCCAUGUAUAAAGUAAUACCUUAUCAGGUUGUUUCAUGAACAAAGAAAAGGUUUUAAUGCUUCCCAGAAUUUUGCUCAUAAAAAAUCAACAUUUCCUAAAAUUAUUUAAAGAAGACUUGCAGACCCCAGUAAAAACAGAUAUUGAUUCCCGUACCGAAAAAGUUUGCCCAGUUCCACCACACUGAUCACAUGUCUGCUGAAAACUGAAAAACCCUUUUUGCAUAGAUAUCUGCAAAUGUAGGAAAUGUUACAUGUUAGUUGGGGGAAACACCCAGUAUUUCCUGAAUAAGUAGCAUCAUCACACAUGGUCUUCAGCAAGUAAGACUAACCAUCCCUCUGCCUUUACAGCGUUUACACAUUUGAGGUUUCACUCCAGGAGGAACACCUUCUCCACCUUGGAAAAUGCAAAAAAAAAAAAAAAAACCAUGGCCACGCAUUCUUAAGAAAUUACAAGAGAGCUGCAGUUAUGAAAACAUAAAUCUCACAAAAAAAGGAAAAACUGAAGUCAUGAUGUUUGUAAAUGCUAUCAAGUGAAGAUAAACAAACCACAAGUUUCACAAGGCACAUCGGUCUGAAAUGUGAUAGUUUUGGUGCAUCCCUGAACAGCUUCCAUGAAGGAAAGUUCAACAGAAACCUAACCAUGAUGGUUUUAAAAAGAAACUGAAAGUCAACAUUAAUUCUAAGCCCAAAAAGAGAGCACCAAUCAACAUGUGGAAAUUCUAAGAACCUUGACAUCUUGGCCAGCAACAUUCUGUCUGAAUACAUUGCUGAAUAUCUGAUCUCCAUCAAAGCAAGUGUGGUGUCAUGCACAAAAAAAACAUGUAAAGUUCAUCAACUGUGAAAAUCCAUUGUUUAGAGAGGGGAAAAAAUACAGAGAAGACCCAAACCACCCCCACUAAAUAAAAAGGAAGAAAAAAGGCAGUGGCAAAUAUAUUUCUCCUCAUAUUGCAUUAAAACAUCCAUUGUGUGGCAAUUUUAUAAGAAAGCAUCAUACAUAAGGUCAUAUACUGCAAUGCAGUGAAACGAUUUUAAUUGCACUGCUGGCUUAAUAGUUCUGGAGGCAUAACAAGGACCCAACAAACUCCAAGAGUAUGUAACUACACAGAAUGUAAAUUCUCACCCUAAGAAAAGGCUGCUCUUAUUUAAUUUAAGAUUUGGAUAUGAGCAGAAUAAAACCACAAGAUAAUUGACAAUCAAAGAGACAAUUAAAUAUGACAGAAUCAAAACAAAGGAAAAGAAGCUGGAGAUUAAUUACAUCUUCCAUUCUGAAGUCCCCAAAUGGACUCUCAAAUCCUGGUCCACCAGGCUGAUAGUUAUCUUGGUUUUCAAAUGCGUCAUGGCCUAGCUAUAAGUUUGCAAAUAUAACAAACAUCAAUAUAGAUAUUAACAGAAGAGGGUCAUUACAUUACAUAUGAUUAAAGAAGAAAGAAAGAAGUUGCAAGGAAGAGAAUUUCAGCAUAUUCUAUGGAUAGUACCUUCAAAGAGGAAAAAAAGGGGGAGAUAUAACAAGAGAAUAUGGCAGAUGCAUGCAUGCAAAGGUUGAUAUUCUUUUUUUCUUAAACUUUGCAAAGUAUGUGAACUUCAUCCAGGCCAAAAUGAAUGAUAAAAUUUAAAGACACGCAUGUUGUAUAGAAUAAAAGACCACCAGGGGAGGGUAUAGUUUCAGGCUAACAAGGCGAAAUGAAUGACCUUUUCACAUAUUUGUGAUCGAGUGCAUGGAAGCUUCAAUUCUAAAACAGAUGCAAUUAUACCUAAAAUUCCCUAAUCUUCCAGAUAAUGCCCAAUUGUUAAGCUAGAACAGAUGCAAUUAUACCUGCAAGAAUGAGAUCCUUGAUUGUUUUUUGGUAAGAAGUUAGCAACUCCUAUUUGAAAAUACAACGUUUUUGUUGGCUGGGUCAGGCACACAAGGCUUGACAAGUUCUUGAGAUUACAAACAGAAAUUGCUUUGCAGGUUGACAGUUGACUACUCAAGUAAAAUUAUUACGGUGAGGUGCACUAAGAAACAAAAUCCAAGAUCAUUCUAACAACAAUGACUUAUCCAUUAUAAAACAUAACCUUUCCAUUUUUCACUGUGGUAGACCUUCUGGAUGGUGCUAAUUAGUUGUCACCCUGCCAAGAUUUAUUUCACCAGUUGACCUUAUCCUAUAUACCAGCCCUUUCACCUACUAGAACCCCCCCCCCAACACAAAAAAAAGAAGCCAAGUGCACACUUUAGAUCGUUGUUCUUCUUCUUCUUUUUCCUUUCAUUCUCAUCUAAAUACUCCAACCCAGAAAACAUAGCUCAGUAAAAAGUAACCAACUGAUGACAGUAUGUAUCACUACAUUCAUCAUCAGACUGAAGAUAAUGGGAUUGUUAAGUGCAUCCCUAGACUAGGCAAGUAAACAACCACAUAAGACAUCUUACUCUAUUGGCUAGUUAUAAUUAUGAAUAGGGGAGUUUCCAUAUUUAUGCAUGUAAAAAUUCCCAAUUAAGAGCAACCAUGUGAUGAGCUAUAAACCUCACUUAUAAUGUACGUAAAUCCUCUCCUCUUAUAAGCACUCAUACUGCCCAUGUUUUCGAUCAUUCAUUAAUACUGUAUGUUACUUGGUUAUGUGUUAUACAGACAUUCAUUUUCCACUUAUUUAAUAAUAUAAACACAGCUAAAAUUAAAUAUGAAACCUGAUCAUAUUGUCCCCGCUUUUGGUCGUCUUUCAAAACCUGUAACCAGAACAAACAAAAGUUUCUCCAUUCAGUAUUCUAUGUAACUCAGUUAGAGGAAGGGAUAAAAAUUCUGGUCUGCAAAAUUUACCUCAUAGGCCUUUGAAACUUCUUGAAACUUCUUUUCGGCUUCAGGAUCAUCUUUGUUUGUAUCAGGAUGUAGCUUCUUUGCCAGCUGCAGAAGGGUGCUAAAGUGAAAUCAGAAGACAAAUUAUACAAAGCUUAAAAAAAAGAAAAAGUUGCAAAGUAAAAGCUGCAAUCCUAUCACAGUAUAAAGAAAAAAUAUUAACGUGCAGACCUAACACCCAAAUUAAAAGAAAUAAAGUAUGAGAGUUGCAUUAUUUGGACUGAAAUAUGCACGAUUAGGAAAAAUAAUGAAAAGAAAAUCUACCCCAUAAGCAGUCCUAAAACCCAAAUGAAAAGAAAUAAAGCUUGAGAGUUGCAUUAUUUGGACUGAAAUAUGCAAGAUUAGGAUAAAUAAUGAAAAGAAAACCUACCCCAUAAUAAGCUUUCUUUAUAUCAGAUGCACUAGCAUUCUUGCUAACACCAAGUACAUCAUAAUAAUCUCUCGACAUAUGAACUGACCGGAAAAAAAGAAGAUAUAAAACAUACAUUGUUAGCCACACAAAAUGCCGAGGAAAUAUUUUAGAAUAAAGCGAUAGUAAGCAGCAACAGCAUAAAUGUUACAGCAAUUGCACUUCAACAAAAUAAAACUUGUACUAAAUAUAGUACAGGGUAAAUUUAAAAGGCAAAAUAUUAAAAGCAGGACAUGUGAAAUACCAGAGCCAUGAAUCAACCUCGUAGCACCAAAUUUCGCAUUUAAAGCUCCCAAUUGCAACCAAUUUGUUUGGUUAACUGCGAUUUUUUUAAAAAAAAUCAGUACCAAAAAUAACAAAUGCUCCCCCCCCCCAGAAUAGCAAAGAAAAUGAAAAAAAUAGAAAAAUAUAUAGAUUCACCAAAAUGUAAAAUUAAUUCCCUUUCCAAGUCCAAUACACAUAAACAACCAAAAAGUUUAAAAAAUAAGCUGUCUAAGAAACCAAACAAAGAAUCUGAAAAUAACCCAUAAAUCAAAACACUGGAAGAGCAAGAGAAAGAAACAAAACAAGUGCAAGUUACCGUUUUUAGGAGAGUAAUUGCCAAUAAACCUAACAGGAUUACAAACCCCAGUGGUCGUACUUAAUCUUCUAUAACUCUCAUUCAAUACACUCUUGUGUACCUGCAAUUAAUACAAAAAACACAUUACUUAUAAAUGUAAAAUAAAGCAAUUCAAUAAAAAACUGCAAAUAAAUAAGCAAAAUCAUACGGAAUUAGCAGAUUCUUGGAGGAGGUUAAGUGAGAGAGAAGGGCGAGCGAGCCAACCAACAAGCCUGGCGCUAUGAGACCGAACCAUUUGGUGGGUUCUUUAGUAGGGUUUGAAAAGUCUUGAUCUUUCUAGCAAUUUGGUUCUUUUUCGGUUUAGGGAUUUUAGGGGUGGGGGCUUAAACCCUACAAAAGCCCUAAUUUUUUAGAUUGGAAGGUUCUAGGAGUUAAGAGAGGGAAGCAGGGAGGAAGUUUUUUUGUUGGGAUUUUAAAAACAGAAUCUAGAAAGUAGAAAGUAGAAAGAGAGAACCGUACGGGCCAAUGGCUACGAGGGCAGGGCCAAUUUUGUUGGAGGCAGACCCUUUCUUGGGCUCUGUUUUGAAAUGCAUUCCUUGGUUCAGAAUUGCCCUUCCAAUUUUGAGUUCAUUUCGUUGCGUUGCUUCUGUGUUUGAAACAAUUACAUUAAUUUAAUUAUUUAGUUAUAUUUUUGAUGCGGGGCAAUAAAUAAAAAAAAUUAAAACAAGAAAAGAAAAAAGCUUUUAAAAAAGAAGCUGAGAAGAGAAAGCAAAGAAAGAGAAAAAAAGAGAUUGAAGAUAUGCAAAGUCUGCAAAUUUUCAUUAAUCAUCAAAAGUCCCUUAACAUUUAGAAAAGUAGGGUAUUAAUACUAAAACCCUAACUACAAUAAGCGAUUGGGCUUAUAGCCCACUAAAUAAAAUACUUAACAAUAAUUAAAUCAAUCCCAACAAAUAAAGAUAAAUUAAUAAAACUCAUAUAAAAGUUCAUAUAAAUUAAACCCAAAACAUAAGUUAAAGCCCGAUCUCUCAAUGAUUUGGGCUAUCCUCUAUUGUCUAUGAUCAUACGCGUGCGUAAAUAAUAUUUUCAGUUCGGUGUCCCCAUCAAUUCUCCCGGGGUUGGAAGAACUCGACCCCGUCAAGUAUAGGUCAAGGCAGCUCCGAUAAUGCUCUCAAAGAUAAGGAUCAAGCUGUUGUGAUGUCUCUCUGAUAAUCCAAGUAUAGUCUGAAUCUGAUCGUCAAGCCCAUAUACUAGGAUUUGCUGAAGUUCACCAUCCCUGGUAAAAACAACUUGUGCAUUCAAAGUAGCAUUAAUAUGUUCCUUUUGUGCCAAAGAUAUGGAUAAUGAGAUAGGGGUAUCAAAAGGAGUAUCAGGGUUAGGCUGUAUUUUAUAAAUACUGAGGUCUUUCAUGUUCAAAGUAGAGCUAAUAUCAAAGUUUAAUGGCAAUUUAAUGACAUAGUUAUUUGAUUUAAUCCUUUGCAACACUUUGAAUGGUCUAGCACUACUUACUUGUAAUUUAUAAUCGGUUUUCAAAGGACACCGUUCAGGUCUAAUCUGUAUCAUGAAAUAAUCUCCAACAUUAAAUGCAUCAUGAUAUUUAAGUAAAUCAGCUCGAAAUUUGUAUUGUUCAUUACUUGCUUGAAUUUGUUUCAUGAUCUCAAUAUGCAAAUUAUGAACCCUACAUGGUAACGACUCAGCUGACUUAGACAUCAUAUCGCGAGGAGAUAUGGGAAGGUGUUCUAUUGGCUCCUCAGGUUUGUAACUAUGAACACUAAAUGAUUGAGGAUGUGGAAUGAGACAAACAUUGUCUGAAACCUAUAUUGUAGAGAUGGUAUGGACACAAUCAAGUAACCUAGGAUUAUCUUCAUCUUCCUCAUCACGUGCAUGUGGUAAGGGAUCAAGAAGCUUAAUAUGUUGCUUUAAACUUAUGAUGUGUUGGACACCAAGCAUGUGGGAUGAGGAUUCAGGUCGUUUAGGAGGACUAAUAUCAUGAGACUCUUCUAAGACCAUACUCAUCUCUAUAGGCGAUUCCACUGAAGAGUUCCCUAAAAUUUCCUUUACCAUUAAAGUAGACAUAUCAGACUCUUUCUUAACCUUAGUCUCAAGCUCAUGUGGACUCAUCAUGUUAAGUCCCUCUUCUUGCACAUCCUCGUCGUCAAGGUCACUAAAAUCCUCAAGAUUAGGCUCAUACACUUUAACACUACAAUAUUCCUCUUUACGUAAAUCCUUAUAUUUUUGGAUGACUAAAGGUUUAGAGGUACAAUCUAAAGAGAUAUAACCAAAACCUAGACAAUUAGUACACUUAACCAUAGAACUCACCUUAGACACUUCAUUAACAACUCAUUUGCCUUUAUCUUUCUUGUAAAGUUGUGAGUUACUAGGAUUAGGUCUAUGGGGUGGAGCAACUAACAGACAAUUAUUACUUCUGAAUUGGGACCUAAUAGGGAUACUAUAAAAGUCCUGACGAUUCUUCCACUGAUUCUUUGUGACCAACUUGUAGUCUUUAGUUAAGGUAUAAGCUUGGUCAAGGGUAGAUACACCUUGAAAUACAACUUCUCUUCUAAGAUCAUCAUUUAAGCCUUUACAAAAUCUACGCAAAGUCAUGGUUUCAUUCUCUCUUAUGGCACAUCUAAUCAUGUAAUCGUUAAAUUGCGUUAUAUACUCAUUGAUAGACUUAUUCCCUUGUCUUAGAUUGUUCCAUUGGUCUAAGAGUUUAUUCCUAUAAGACUGGGGUAGGUACUUUUCCUAAAGUUUUUGUCUCAUUUUGAUCCAAUCAGUUAUAGGAGGUUUACCUCUCAUCUCUAAACAAUCCUCAACAUCUCUCCAAUAAAUUUUGGCUUCAUCAAUGAGUUUCAUCUCAGCAAAUCUAACUUUUCUAUUAUCAGACAAGUUAUGCCACUCAAAGAAUCUAUCCAUAUCACGAAUCCACAUUUCAAAUAUCCAAAGGUCAUAACGACCGUCAAAAGUGGGGGCUUCUAUUUUGUUAGGACUUAAGACUCGCUCAUCAAAGUCAUCGUGUUUAGAGUAACAUAAAUGAUAGUCAUACUGGUGGCGCUCAUAGUGAACUUGUCUAUAAUGAUUAUUCUUGUGAUAUUCAUUAAUCUUUGAGUGCCUUAUUUGAAAAUUCUCUUGGGGCUCAAUUCUUUUAAACAUGUUGAUCACCUAAGUUUGCAAUUCCCUUUAAAUGGUCAUAAGAGUAUCACUAAAGGUUGAGUCUACAGUAAGUGUAAACUUAAGUUUGGACACUAGAUGAUCAUGACACAAAUGCCUGCAACACUAAUUUAUAAAUGGAAUUGAGAUCACAAAUGGUUCUUGCAUGUAAAAUCACAAUACAAAAAUAAAGCUAAUAUAUUUUUUUUAUCUUUUUUUUUAAAUGUGGAGAUUAAUCAAGAACAAAUUACACUAAUAAAAUUGUAAGCAUGUAAUACUAGAUUCUUAAGUGUAAAUGAUUAAUCAAACACGAUGUCACAACCAAGAACUCAUAAUUAUCAAAUAGAACAAAAUAUUAGCUAUCACUGAUGAAAGAGGUUGAUGAACAUAAUUAACAAUUAAAAAUGCUAGGUGAGAUUUUUUUAUUAUUAUUAUUUAUUUUGGCACAAAAGUAAUAUUAAUGAUAACUUCAAAUACUAAGUGCAAUACUAAAAAGGUAAAAUCAACAAACCGAAAAGUAAAGUAAUUUACCGACCAAGAUUCAAAUCGUCGAAUUCGAUCGUGGAUGGACCUCGGAUGACAUGGCAAUAGGGGUGAUGUGGAGAGGUCUGCUUAUAUGGUGGACAGUGACGUGGCUGCUCAUGCUGAUGUGGCGGAUGACGUGGAUGUUGCUUCAGAUUGAUGACGUAGAUGCUGCUUCAUAUUGAUGACGUGUCAGGUGAUGUGGUGAUGAUGUGGCAGGGUGAAUUAUUUUGUGUGAAGAGCUUAUGUUUCCUUCUUCCUUGCUUUCUGUAAUUCGUUGCCACUGCUGACGACGACGAUGACGCAAGAGAAGUGGAUCUGUGAUUCUUCUUGGGAUCGGCAGUGCGAGGAAAGGGGUUGCGGUGUCGCUGCUGGACAGGGGCUAGUUGAUGCGUGGAUCCGAUGCUGCUACUGAAGGCGAUGGCAUUAUAGACGGUGGCAGAUGGAGAUCUGUUGCGUUGCCAUUGCUGCGGUGAACCACCAGUCGGUGAUGGCUGUAGUGGGUGGGUGGCUGCGUCUGGUGGUCUGUGCUGCUGAAGCCGAAAGUCUGUUGUGGAGGCGCCGCUGCAAAUGAUUUGGUUGUAAUCUGUCGGUGGCGUGGGGAGCGGCCUUCUGUAGGAGAAUCUGUUGUCGUGGGUCUUGGUGUGACCGACGUUGAUGCAGAGUUUCCAAUCGGCGUUGAUGCAAGUUGUAAUCGGCAUUUUCCAAGAAUUUUGAUUUCGGCGGUUGCUGCGGAGAAGAUGAACAGUGACAAUGAACAAUGCACAAUUAUUAUUUUUUCGUAAUCCGAACAGUAGGUGUUUUUUUUUUUAAAACAGUGAACAAUUUUUUUUUAGAUCAAACCGGAUCUAGGGUUUAGCAUAAACAUUAUGGAACGUUUAAUUGUAAGAACAAUUAAAACCCUGGCUCUGAUACCAAAUUUGAUGCGGGACAAUAAAUAAAAAGAAUUAAAGCAAGAAAAGAAAAAAGCUUUUAGAGAAGAAGCUGCGAAGAGAAAGCAAAGAAAGAGAAGAAAGGAGAUUGGAGAUAUGCAAAGUCUGCAAAUUUUCAUUAAUCAUCAAAAGUCCCUUAACAUUUAGAAAAGUAGGGUAUUAAUACUAAAACCCUAACUACAAUAAGCGAUUGGGCUUAUAGCCCACUAAAUAAAAUACUUAACAAUAAUUAAAUCAAGCCCAACAAAUAAAGACAAAUUAAUAAAACUCAUCUAAAAGUUCAUAUAAAUUAAACCCAAAACAUAAGUUAAAGCCCGAUCUCUCAAUGAUUUGGGCUAUCCUCCAUCAUCUAUGAUCAUACGCGUGCGUAAAUAAUAUUUCCGGUUCGGUGUCCCCAUCAAUUUUCACAGCAGAUUUAUAGUAGUAAAGCCUAUUAUUAAUUGUGGCACAACCACAAGUUUUCAAGAAGCAUCAGUGUUGUUCAUGGUUUUCUUUCCCGAACAGUGAAGCAUGAUCUAUGGGUUUUUUUCCGACCGAAUCGGUCCGAUUCAAAGCUAACAAUGCAUUGAACUGGUCCUAUCUAAUAAAAUAAAAAAAUGUUUUUUAUUUUUAAUUGUUUUUUAUUCAAAAAACUAGCGUUAAAAAAAUAUUUUAUAUAAAGUAUUAUUUAUUUCAUGAUAUAAUAGUAAUAGUUAAAUCUACAAUAUUUAAAUUAAAAAUCAUCAAUAUUAAUAUAUAUUUUUUAAAAUUAUUUUAUAACUUCAAUUUUAAAAGCAGUCUUAACCAAACACAUUAAACUACUUUUUGUUCAACCUCAAUUCCAACCACAGUUUUAACCAAACAUAUAUUUUUCCGAACCAACCACAACUAAAAGUACUUUUUAUAAAAUAACUUUUUUCAAACUAUAACCACAACAUCUACCGCAAUACCAAACACACUUUUUCUCGUCUUCUUUUUUCUAAAUUAUAAUUUCUUUUUGACAGUUUCUUUUCCUUUUAUUAUAUUUGGAAAAUUAGUUUCAAAGCCAUUAUUAUUAACUUAUUAGUACUUCUCCUUUUUUCUGAAAAAAAAUAAAAUUGGCUAAGCUCAAGUGAUUCGGUGCGAUUAGUAUUGUAACACAAAAUACUUUUUAAAAGUAUUUUUUUUAAUUAUGAAUCAAAAUAAUUUUUAUUUUAUUUUUAACAUCAACAUAUUAAAAUUAUUAAAAAAAAUACCACAAAACAUUGAUUUAAUGUUUUUUUUUAAAAUAGAUAUACUUUUAACAAGCAUAUAAAAUUAGAAGUUAUUGUAAUUUCAAAUGGAAUAGUAAUAACUUUUUAUCUAAAGGUCAAUAAUAAAUGAUAUAUUAUUAAGAACUAAAUUAUUUAAACUAAAAAAAAUUAAUUAAAAUUAAGUCUUGAUAAACAAGCAAAAUUAAAUUGGCUAGAGAGAGGAGAGCAGUGAUUACAAUAACAGAGAAUUCUAGAGAGUAGCAUAAUUAAUAUUGGGUAAAUUAAUCUCUUAGCCCCUCAAGUUUUGAAAAUUAGUUCAAUAGGCCCUUGUACUCAAAAUUUGGACAUGUCAACCCUUAUAUUUACAAUUUAUGGUCACAAGUUGUUUUUUUUUUAUUGGGUUUCACGAGAUACACACACAAUAGAAACAAUAAAUUUAAAUUUUCAAGAGUCUAAGGAUCCCGUUAAAUAAAUCUAGAGAUUUUUAGGGUUUAUGUGAAGAUUUCCUAAAAAUCAGAUGUUUUUUUUUGCUUUGAAUAUUUGCUUCGAGGUUGGGUUAUCGCAAACCACAAGUCAUCCAAGUGUCCAACCUUAAACGAUAAUCCACACGAACCAUUAGUGAGAAAAUUUAUAAACUUUUUUAUGUGAGAGAGAUUGUUAUACCUUAGAGUGUUAGUUCUUUUCUUUUGUGUUUUAAAUCUUUAUAUAUUGUAUUUUUCUCACCUUUUUUUCUUAUAAGAAAUAAAAGGCAUAACAUUUUAUUUACAAGAAAACCUAAAAAACCCUAUAAAUAACAAAAUAUCAAUUUGCCCUUAAAUAAUAUCAUAUAUACUAUUUUAGAUGUUCUUAGAAAUUUAUUCAAUUAAGUCCCUACUUAAUUUUUCUAGGUCUAAAAUUGCAAUCCCCUAUAUUAAUUAUAUUCUAGUCUUCAAUUUCUAAAAUUUAUUUACAAUUAAGUCACACUUGAUUUAUUAUGUCAUUUUAACUUCUGACAAAUGAUUCUUAUAUGCAUGACCUAAUGGGUUCUCUAAUAAGUGAUCCAAAUAUAAAUCAUAAUCCUAAAUAAAAUAAGAUCAAAUAAAUUAAUAAUUUAAUUUAUAAUCAAUUCAACAAUUUAUUGAUUUAUAUUUAAAGAUCAAGUACAAUGUCUAGUAACUUGUCAUGAUCUCCUAAAUAAUAGAAAAGUUAGAAGUUGUUUAACUUAAAUAUCUUUAUAUAGUUUAUGCUAUACCCAAUAUAUGCCCGUUUGUUACAUUUGAUUAGGACAAUGUGUGGUUAGGAUCAAAGCAUAACACUUUUUAUAUAACAUAACUUAGUGAUCAUUUACACAAUUAUCACGGGAGCUUUUCUAUAGACAUAAGUGAUCUCUCCAUUUAUGAAAUUUUUUUACGAGUCAAUUCAGUGUACAUAUAAUAUAACAAGUACCUGUAAAUUAGUUUCAAGUAUAUCUUAUACCCUAGUUUAUAGGAGGAGCUGCUUCCUUUAAUAAAAGAAUGAACAUAAUAUGCAUCGAUUUUAACAACUCUAAUUAAUAUUCAAUUUUAAUAGAAAAUUGACCAAAAAUAUUUAGAAAUAAUAUUUUAAUAUAAUAGAAAUCUCAUAAUUAUAACAGCUUUAUUAUUUUUUUUACAAAACAUUUUUGUUUUAUGAAUCUUAUCUUUAUUUUAGAUUCAUUAAUUAAACAAAAGAUUUAUUAAUAAUAAAUAUAUUUUACAUGAAUAAAAUUAGUAUUACAUAUAACCUACUGAUUUAUUACAAUAUAUAUAUAUAUACCCACUUUCAUCCCAUUAGAUGUAUAUGCACAUGCACAUCAAUACGUGAUAAACAUGCAAUGAACAUGAGUCCUAUAGAUGGACACCAUGGCCACAAAUUGAAAUUCUGAGGGUUGCCAUGCUCUAAAUCAAAGUAGAGGGGUUGGUUUGACAAAUUUUUAAAACUUGAAUGACCACAAAAUGAAUUUACCCCAACAUGUUACCCCUAGAUUGCUGCACUCUAUCAAGAUCAUACCAAUGUGUCUAUGAGUUAGGAAUAAUUUAGAAGCAAUAUAGCAAGUAAACAGUUCAUUGAAGAACUGAAAUUACUUCCUUCUCUCCCCUUCCUCAACGAAGAGAUGUGAACUUCCAAAAGCACUAUGAUUACACUGAACAAAGGUAUAAUUUAGAAGAAGAGCUUGUUUUUAUGGUCCAGGAAAAUGGAGCACAAAAUCACCUCAUUUCAGGCUGAGGACCCCCUCCAUAUGCAUGAUGAAAACAAGCAAUUCUUAAAAGAGAUAUGUCCACGUUUUUUCUUUAUCUGCUCUUAACACAAAGCGCAAUUAUCCAGUAAUUCAGGGUAGCAAUCAUGGUGAUCCUUGAUCGAAGAGAACUUACGUGCAAUUGUUUGUUUCAGGUCAAGAUUGCAGCACUAGGCCCUGCAAUCUCUAUUAUAUCUUAAUGUCGAAAGCCAGAAUUUUGAAGAGUGUUGGUAAUUAAAACAAUUAAUGUCCUGUAACUUGACAAUCCAUCAGAGAAAGCAUGGAUUCUCCCUAACACAACCAUUCUUUUUGAGGUUCCCUUUUCUUUUCUCCAGGCAAAACAGAUAGGAUGUUGUCAUGUACUUGGAACUAAGCAAAACAGUAGGAAACUCGAAUCAAAUCCAGCAAAAGAGUAUUGCAGACUUCCUACUCCUAGACACAUACCCUCUUCUUUUUUCUCUUUUUACCCUUCAUUUUUUAUUUUCUGUUUCUUAGAGAGGGUGGUAUGUUUUGCAGGAGAUACCAUGCCUUUCUUUUUUACCACGGCAGAGAUUGUGUGUCGGAUAACCUCCAUGAAAAAAAGUGGUUCCACUCUAUUAAGGCUUUAAAAUGGAAUUUACCUCUAUUAAGAAUAAUAUAAAUUAUAUUUUGGAUCAUUAUCUAACAGCUUAAGCUAUUGGGUUGAGAUGGUUUUUUAACAUGGUAUCAGAGCCUUGAUUACCAAGCGGUCACGAGUUCGAAACUCACCAUUCCUAUUUAUUUGAUAAAAAAAAUUAAACACAAGAUAUGUGAGCAUGUGCAAGUUUCAAGUCCAAAGCUUUCACUUGAGAGGAUGUGUUAAACAAUAAUAUAAAUUAUAUCUUGAAACCUCAACUAAUAACUUAAGCUAUUGGAUUGAGAUGAUUUUUUGAUAAGUUGGAUAACAGAUAGAGUUGCAGCAAUUUCAACAUAAGACUGACUAAACAAAGGGAUAACAACAAUAAUAAAUAAGUUUUAAAGCAAGAAAAAGAAUACAGCAUAGGAAAGGCAUCUUUCACCAAGGUCACGCUCACCUGAGCUUUAGGUUUUACUUUUGCCUUCUUUCAGCUCUAACAAUGACCUUUAACUCGUUUUAUUUUUCUCUUUAGGUUUCUUCACAUAGGUGUUGCUGACCACUGAAGAAAGGCAUGUUCAUAAUUACACAGGGUUAAGCAAACUACUCUUUAAUCAAUGACCAACAGAUGAUAUGUCUUAAGCUGGAAGCGUGAGAAGUGUUUCUAAGGAAAUCGGAACUGGUUAAUAAGGAUUAUUCCAGGAUUUAAACAUAUUAGUUUUUUGUAGGCGAAUGAAAAACAUAUCAGUGUGGUAACAGAAGAAGUUAAUUUCUUCACCUAUGAACAGAUCUUAGGAUCCACAUUUGCCAAAUGUUAUGAUGAGCUUCAUGAUAAAACCAUACGUCAUAUAUCUACAUUGAGAGAGAGGUGCAGGACUGAUCCCUUUCUUGUCAAAGAAGUCGAACUUUUAAGUGUAGAAAGAAAAAGAAAACAAGAGAAGAUUAGGCUGUUAAAAUGCAACAGAUGAUCCUAUUAAGAUCCAAUGUUAUUCUUUGUUAGCUUACUAAAAGCUUCAAUAAAUUUUUUGAAGGGAAGGAAAUAUGCGCAAGAAGGAUCUGGAAACCAGUAAUAAAAUAACCAAUUUCCAUUUAACUUUAUCUUCAAGUUCUUCAUAGCAAUCUGGGCGACAGUAUAUAAUAUUUGUGGCGAAAUAAGCAUAUUAUUACAUCCACGGACUAAAUAAAGCUUAUUCUUUCCCUCCAUUUUGCUCUUCUUGGCCAACCUAGUCUAUCUACAAAACUCAAAGGCAGCUUCUCCAUCAAAGCAUUCCUUUCUUCACAAUUCAAAGCUACUACUGUGAGUGAGAAAUAACCAAUCAAUUAUUCCUUCCAUUUAUAUUGUAAGUUGGUGACUAGAACUUCUUUGCUUCCACUUUGAGUUUCAGAUUUCUUGUAUAGAGUCACUUCCCUGUAGCUUCCGACACCAGCAAAGUAACCCAGAAAAAGAGCAUGAAGCUAGUGGUGGAAGUAGUAGAUGCUCAUGACCUUAUGCCCAAAGACGGAAAAGGUUCAGCUAGCCCAUUUGUAGAAGUUGAUUUCCAAAACAAACUAAGCAAAACCAAAACCAUCCCGAAGAACCUCAACCCUGUUUGGAACCAAAAACUUCUCUUUGAUCUAGAUGAAACCAAAAACCGCCAUCACCAAUCCAUUGAGGUUUCCGUUUACAACGAGAGGAGACCAAUUCCUGGCCGAAACUUCCUUGGUAGAACUAGAAUUCCAUGUUCAAAUGUUGUCAAGAAAGGUGACGAAGUUUAUCAAACUUUCCAAUUAGAAAAGAAGUGGUUUUUCUCAACUGUCAAAGGUGAAAUUGGCCUUAAAAUCUAUACCUCACCAGAAUCGAAAGCUCCUCCCCUUCCCUCUCCAUCACAACCUCCACCAUCUAAUACACCACCACCACCAGAAACCUCUCCUUCUAGUUCUUCUCUCCCCCCUAUUACUCAUUUUGCAGAAAAUACCGGCCGUGAUUGCAGAACACUUGCUGCUCUUCCUAGAGCAGAGUUUCUUCAUACUUCUGAAGCUAUUACAGAACAGCCUGGGAAAAAGAUUUCUGCAACUUCUGAAACUAGUGGCGGUUUUCCUGCAAAAGAGCCAAAGAUCAGUAAUAAAGAACCUGCCAAAAUAAGAGCUGAUACCACUCAACACGUACACAAACACCAAGUCCUGCAGAAAACCAGCCAAUCGGUGGAGAAACUACCAAACGGUGCCCCUUACACAGUGCAUGCUGCUAAUCCAUCAGCUCAUUCAAGUGAUCUAGAUGACUUCAACUUGAAGGACACCGAUCCCCAGUUAGGGGAACGGUGGCCAAGUGGUGGAGCAUACGGGGGAAGAGGAUGGAUGAAUGGCGAGAGACAUGCAAGCACAUAUGACCUUGUUGAGCAGGUAUCCUACCUAUAUGUUCGAAUUCUUAAAGCCAAAGAUCUUCCUUCGAGCUCCAUCACUGCAAGCUGCGAUCCUUAUGCGGAGGUAAAGCUUGGGAACUACAAGGGUAGGACAAGGCAUUUCGAGAAGAAAAUGAACCCAGAAUGGAACCAGGUCUUCGCUUUCUCAAAAGACCGAAUACAGUCAUCGGUGCUGGAAGUUUUUGUCAAAGACAAAGAAAUGGUGGGGAGAGACGAUUAUCUUGGAAGGGUAGUUUUCGAUUUGAAUGAAGUUCCAACUAGAGUUCCACCAGACAGUCCACUGGCUCCUCAAUGGUAUAGACUGGAGGACCGACGAGGAGAAGGGAAGGUGAGAGGAGAGAUUAUGCUUGCGGUUUGGAUGGGAACGCAGGCAGAUGAAGCCUUUCCAGAUGCAUGGCACUCUGAUGCUGCCUCAGUAUAUGGAGAGGGUGUACUCAACAUCCGCUCAAAAGUCUAUGUAUCACCAAAAUUGUGGUACCUAAGAGUGAAUGUGAUUGAAGCUCAAGACGUGGUACCAAGUGACAGAAGCCGCCUCCCAGAAGUAUUUGUAAAAGUUCAAGUUGGGAAUCAAGUUCUCAGGACAAAGAUUCACCCCACUAGAACAGCUAACCCACUCUGGAAUGAAGAUUUGGUGUUUGUAGUGGCUGAGCCUUUUGAGGAGCAGCUCUUUCUUACUGUUGAAUAUCGAUUGACUCCCCUGAAAGAUGAUGUCUUGGGGAAAAUAAGCGUGCCCCUCAACAUUUUUGAGAAGCGACUAGAUCACCGGCCUGUUCAUUCUCGCUGGUUCAAUUUAGAAAAAUAUGGUUUUGGUGUUUUGGAAGCUGACAGGAGGAAAGAGCUUAAAUUCUCAAGCCGGAUUCAUCUAAGAGUUUGUCUUGAAGGAGGAUACCAUGUAAUGGAUGAAUCGACAAUGUACAUCAGCGAUCAAAGACCAACAGCAAGGCAGCUCUGCAAGCAGCCAGUUGGGAUAUUAGAAGUGGGAAUCUUGGGUGCACAAGGUCUUCUUCCAAUGAAGAUGAAAGAUGGCCGAGGGAGUACAGAUGCCUAUUGUGUGGCUAAAUACGGCCAGAAAUGGGUUCGCACAAGAACAAUCGUUGACACUUUCAAUCCAAAAUGGAAUGAGCAAUACACUUGGGAAGUUUACGAUCCCUGCACAGUGAUAACAUUGGGAGUUUUCGACAACUGCCAUUUAGGAGGAGGAGAGAAACCAACUGCUGCAAAUGUAGUACGAGAUUCAAGAAUUGGAAAGGUAAGAAUUAGACUGUCAACGCUAGAAGCUUAUCGGACUUGCACACAUUCUUAUCCACUUCUUGUUCUGCACCCACACGGUGUGAAGAAAAUGGGAGAGCUCCAACUGGCAGUUAGACUCACCACCCUCUCUCUAGCUAACAUGAUAUACGUCUACGGGCAACCUUUGCUGCCUAAAAUGCACUUCUUGCAUCCAUUCACAGUUAAUCAGGUAGACAAUCUGAGAUACCAAGCCAUGAAUAUCGUAGCUGUGAGGCUCGGCCGAGCUGAACCACCUCUGAGAAAAGAGGUGGUGGAGUACAUGUUAGAUGUGGAUUCUCACACGUGGAGUAUGAGAAGAAGCAAAGCCAACUUCUUCAGAAUCAUGUCACUUGUUUCUGGUUUGUUUUCUAUGAGCCAUUGGUUUGGGGACGUUUGCCAAUGGAGGAACCCAAUAACAUCAGUGUUGGUUCAUAUCCUCUUUCUUAUAUUGAUUUGGUAUCCAGAAUUGAUCCUCCCAACUCUCUUUCUCUACAUGUUCCUCAUUGGAAUAUGGAACUACAGGUUCCGACCAAGGCAUCCACCUCACAUGGACACUAAACUUUCAUGGGCAGAAGCAGUGCACCCGGAUGAACUUGAUGAAGAAUUUGACACAUUCCCAGCUUCCAAGUCCCAUGAUAUAGUUCGAAUGAGGUAUGACAGGCUUAGAGGAGUUGCAGGAAGGAUCCAAACUGUAGUGGGCGACAUAGCAACACAGGGGGAGAGAUUUCAGUCUCUACUCAGUUGGAGAGAUCCAAGAGCAACCAGUCUUUUCAUUGUGUUCUGUCUUUGUGCAGCUGUGGUGCUCUAUGCGACUCCUUUCAGGGUGGUGGCUCUAGUUGCUGGUUUGUAUUAUUUGCGGCAUCCUAGGUUUAGAAGCAAGCUACCGUCUGUGCCCAGCAAUUUCUUCAAGAGAUUGCCGGCUCGAACGGACAGCUUGCUGUAAUACUGCAAGCAGACAAAUUCCUUAUUUUCCGUUACCCUAAUCGCUUCUUGUUCGAGUUAUAAUAAGUGUUUUGUUUACAGUAAUACAAUUCAAAUUUUUGAGAUUUUAAUGAAAUUUUAUGUUUGUAAUUAUUUUAAGUAUUAAAAAUUAAAUUUUAAACGGAAUUUAAUCUUAAAAAUCUUAAAAUUUCUAAAUAUAAUAAAUUUAAUAUUAAAACUGAUAUUUUUAAAAUAUCCAUGAAAGAUUUUCGAAGAAAUAAAAUAUUAUUUCUUCGAGUUAUAGGAUACCAAGUACCAACUGCAUCUUUAUAUACCCUCAAACACAAAUCAUGCUCUCCUGUUCCUACUUCCACUCGCCAUGCUAUCAUUGCGAGAAAGCUAGUGGAAUUGAUUGGCUUCCCUUUUCAAUCUGCGUUUGUGAUUUUGAGCGAGAAGCUAUAAAAAACCAAGAAAGAGGUCACCUAGCAAGGUACAAGGGACUGCGAAGAGACAGAGAGAACUAGCCAACAGCGUAAAAGCAAAAGCAAAAGCUAAAAUAACAGCAAAAGCUACACAACUAACAAUUCUAAUGAACAAAUAACAUGAAAAAUCUUGCACCAAGAAAUGAAAAAUGGGAAACAAAAAUCAAUUGCUGCCUCAUACGAGGUUCAUGUAGCUGUCUAUUGCCAAAAACACUAGAAGAGUGCAUCUGCUAAGAUAACGUUCAAACAAAAUACAGUUAAAAAGAAGCUCAAGAGAAACGAUCCUAAGUUUUUCUUUUAAAACACAAGCUCAUGAGGCUUCAUUCCAUCCUUGAGGGAAAACCUUGCGCCCAAGUAUGCUUUCAAUUCCGGAACACUCUCAAUUGAUUUAAUGACUUGCGCAUCCACUGACUUCUGGUCAUCCUUCUUUUCUUGUGGGAGUGCAUUCUCACCCUGUAACAUGGGAUGAGAUGAUAAUAAAUUUCUGAAUGGACAACAUGAGAAAAUACAAUAGAACAUGACCAAAUCUAACUAAUAACCACUUGCAAAACCAACCUCUUUCUCUGCCUCAAAGAAGUUGCCCUCUCCUUUCUUCUUCUUCUUCUCAGCCUUCUUGCCAAAAUAUUUAUCAUCGAACUUCUCCACGCUAACCCCAGAGAUGUCAACCUUGGUGGAAGUUGCAAUCACAUAAGAUUGGUUGACUCUCCUAAGAGGAACACCGUUGAUCUUAAAUGGUCCUGCAGCAAUUAGGAAACAAAUACCAUAAUUUUAAGCAGGAAAACCACAGAAAACGUCGUCCACGUUAUAACAGCAAUACUAAGUCCAAGACCUUACAAUCAAAAUUUUACAAAUCCAAAACCAUCCAAGCUAAGUCAUAUCACUAAAUUUCCAUUUCAAAACAGCAUAGAACAUCAACCAAGUAAAUAACCAAGCACUGAUGCGAGCAUAAUCACAGAUCCAAAUUUCAGGUCACUAGCUUUAAGAUGAUUAAUAAAUAAUUUCUUUCGCCCAACAAAAACAGUAAUGCACAAGCCCACUACAGCACAGGCACGACAGUCAGUAUAAAGUAAGCAGGUAGAUGUCAUUGUCAUACAGGAAAAAACAUAAAAAUGAUAAAAGGGAAUAAAAAAUCAAGCUAACCAGUCACAAGUAGCAACCCAGAAGUCAGUUGCUUGAGAAACACAACUCUCUUGCCCUUGAACCUUCCAGCAAGAAUGAUCAACACAGUCCCAGGAGUAACACUAUCCCUACAACACCAUAUAAAAAGCAAAGAAAUAACAGAUUACAACAUUACUUAAAUCACAAUGCAAAGAUUUAGCAGCCAAAACUAUCUGUAAAUCAACAGCCUUUCUUACACGAUAAAUCUCUUGCAAUUCAAAAAGAAAUAUUCAAUAGAAAACACAAUCAAAACCCCAUUCUAAUACAGAAGCAUACUCAAAAAGCAAAAUUACAAAAUCGAUUAAGAGAUUUAAGAGCUCAAAAGAAUGAAUUCAUAAAGAAAGCGACAUGGAUAAAAGUGGACACCUGAGCUUGGUGGGCUUCGGCUUGCGCCUGUUAGGCAAUGGCUUCUUGACAUCAUCAGCUGGGUAAAACUUAGGUGGUUUCUCGGCAGAGGUAGGGGCUUUAGCUUUAGGGGCAUGUUUAGGGAAAACACCGCCGUUUUUGGCCUUGAUAGCCCACAAACCUCUCUUGUGGUACAUCUGCGACCUCGAGUACUUGCCGAUUCCUCGGACUAGAUCUGGGUUUCUGGUUACCUGUGGUGUCUUCCUGGGAGCCAUUGAUACCGAUUGAGGUCUCUCUCUGUGAAAAAUGGCCACAAACCCUGGUGGAGAGGAUUUAGAGCAAUUAUAUAUGCGGCGUUUUAUAUAGAAAGAGAAAUGGGAGUGUCAGUGAGAAUAAAAAAAACCCUAGAAACCCUAAUUCCGAUAAUUGGGUUUCGGGCUUGGGUUCGGGUUGUGUGUGGUUUAUUUCUACCCUUGGGUGGGCCUGUGUUGUUACUGAUGUUUGGUCUUGGAAUUAUUUGGAUAAAAGAUUUUUUUUUAUUAUAGAAAAACUUAUUUGGUUCAUCAAAUAGGUUAUAAUUUUUGUGUUUGAUCUUUUAUAACACACACAAAAGCUAUAAUAAUAUAUUUUUUAUUUAUAAAAACUUGUUUUUCUAAUUUAUUUUGCAUGGAAAAAAUCCAUCUUAUGAAAAUUCUAAUCAAAUAUAUAUUUUUAAAAAUGCAAUUAAAAUUAUUUUUAUUAAAUAUAUUUUUAACAAAUUUAAUAUUUUUAAAUUUUAUAAUUCUUCUGUCAUGUGAAAUUUUUUUAUUUUUUUAUUUUAAAAUUUCCUUUAAAAAAGUUUAAUCAUGAAUCUAGGAUUGUGUUAGUAAUUUUUUUUUAUUUGAUAGUAAAGUUUAUUUUUAGAUUAGUUUGUGAAUCAAUUAAUAUUAAAUUUUAUUUUUAAAUAAUUUUAAAGACAUAUUUUAACAUAAAUUUGAUAGAUACUAAUUUCAUUAUUUAAAUUUUAAAAUUUAGAAAAACAAAUAUAUUUUUCUAAUAUUAAAUAGUGUUAUUAUAUUUAUCAAUUGAUAAUGUUUAGUUAUUAUUUUGUGAUAUAAAAAACAUAGAUAGUGAUGAUAGAUGAGACAUGUCUUCCUGUAUUUUUUGUUUUAAAAAUACAAAAAUCUAUUCAAUAAAUUAUCAUAUGAAAAUAUAUAUUUUAUAUCUCUAAUUCUAACUUUAUCUAAAUAAACAUAAAUCUCCAUUGUUUUCAUCUUUCAUGUCUUAAAACAAGAAACAAAUGCUAUUAUUGUAUUCAAUUAAGGCUAACCAGGCUCAUUUUACUUAUUCAUCAAUGGAUUUACUAUUCUCGUAAUAAAAAAUAAAAAUAAAAUAUUAUUUUCAUAACCAUAUUCACUAAAUAACAUCAGUUGCAAUAUCAUAAAUCAUAUCAUAGUCUUCAUUUAAUUUUAAAAAACCAAGUAUUAAAGUGAUGUGAAUAUUUUCAAAUUAAAGAUAAAUCUAGAAAAAAAAUAACUUUGAAGUUAACAAAUAAAAACAUAUAACAUGUAACAAAUUAAAAUCCAAUCCUUUAGAGGCAAAUUGGUAAACUAAAACCCAACUAACAAGAUAUGUUAUUUCUACUCUCUAUUACAAAACCCUUUCAUUCCCUCUUAUUAUACAAAGAAAAAUAUCUAAUAAAAGAUGGCAACAAUCUCUUAUUUUUACUAUACUAUUACCCACCUAAAAACUAACUCUUUCAACAAACUAGUUCAAACCCACUUUUCAAAUCCUCAAACUAGCAACUAAUUUUAACCAUUUCCUUAAACUCGCACAUUUACCUAAUAUUAGAAACCCUAAAGCCCCUAAAACAUUCAUUCCAAUAGCAAAAGAAACAACACCAGUUUCUGUAGCAGACCGUUCUUCGGAAGCUACUAAGAGAUCGUAUGUCGGAAAUAUUCCAAGGACUAUAACUGAUAAAGAGCUUACAAAGAUUGUUGAAGAGUAUGGUGUAACUGGAAAAAAAAAAGGUAAUUUAUGAACUAAUGAGUUUGUAUUUCUGAUAAAUUAUUUUUGUGCUUUAAGAAAGCUUAGACCUAAUAUAGGGUUUUAACCUAUUCUAACACAGGUUUAGCGGUUAUGUACUUAGAUCUGGCAAGUUGUCAGACCCAGUACAUUUGAGUUCACCCUUGAGCAAAACCCAAGGCAUCGUGGGUUAGGCAAGCUGUCGGAAAUAAUACAAUUGGAUUCACCUUUCAGCAAAGUCUAAGGUAUUGUGAGUCUGACAUUCUGUCAAACCUAGUAUACAUGGGUUCAACCUUAAGGUGAACCCAAGGUACUAUGAAUUAGAUGUGCUGCUAGAUCCAAUAAACUUGAGUACACUUUUGAAGUGAACUCAGGGUAAUAUGGGUUUGACAAAUUAUUAGAUGUAAUAUAUUUAAGUUCAUCCUUGAGGUGGACCUAAGGUACCAUGAAUCUAGUAUGUUGACAG